UCUGCUCCUUGCAACAGUCACAGUGCACGACCUAGCUGAUGCCCCACAAGGGGCAAAGGCAUCCCAGAAACACAAGAAGGCAGGGGCAAUUUUCUCCUCAGAAACAAAUGAGAUAUCCAGAAGACCAGCACUGGUGUGCCAGGUGUAUUUUCCUCUCUCGAAGCAGACGCUCCCUGAUUUUUAAGAGCAUUACCAGGAAAUCAGGGGCUGCAAACAAAGACAGCAACACAUGGCACUGUCUGGCAAGCUAUAUUCAUCCUGUCAAUCAUAGGGCUGGCUGGCUGUUGAUGGUAAAUUACUCUCAACAAAGUUACAUCCAUUAUACAACCGAGCAUCGACAUGCCUUUAUUCCUGUUAUAUAGGUUCCUUCAUUCAUUGUUGACUCUAACAAUGACGACUAGAAAGACGGCACCGUCGCUCCAACUCUGUCGCGGGGAAUGAGGCGCAGCUCCGAGCCAUGCUUCAAGAACACGUUGCCUGCAAAAUUAACAAUAGUUUUACAUCAGCGGACAUGGAAGAGAAGGGGCAGAUUGACAUAGGGAAGUGGUGUCAUAUUGACUAGACUAAGAUUAAAAAAAGUAUUAAAUAUAUGGCAUACGAUAUGCAAGCUCCAGAAGGCGGCUCAGAGUUAAUCAAGCUAAAGAGAAGGGCAGUGAGUGUCCUGAAGAUAAAUAUCUUAGGUUAGAGAGACCUAUGUUCUGAGAAAGAGAGAAGUACAAGGCUAUUAAGCUUAUCAAGUAUACUCCAUUUUACAAUCAAGCUGGCCACCUUAUUUAAGUUCUAAGUAGCAAAAUUCAGAGCCAGCAGACCAGCACAAAUCGAAUGGCUCAUAUGAACAUGCAAAAAAUUAGUGACCAGUAACUCAAAACAGUUCAAUCAAUCUUGAAUAGCCUAGACAACUCACUUAGUCCAGUAACUCAAAUUUUUUCCAUGGAAAAUAUAUUGUAGUUAACAGAACACUGUUGCAUGUUAGGAAUAGAACUGGAAAAUAUAUUGUAAGCAAGGCUGCAAGGGUAUCUGCAAAUAGUACCUGCACUUUGCUGUGGGUUGAUGCCUACUCCAUCUGCAAAGGGGAAAAGCAAUGUUAGUCAAAGUAAGAACAUUAUGUAUGUCAAACAAACAAGCAAAAUAAUAAGGGACAAACAUAUUUCUGCUGUAACCAUCUGAAGCUUGUCACACAAGCUUGAGAGCUCAUAGUCAAAUGAUGACUGCAUUAUAUAAGAAGUUAAAAAUGGUUCAUGUUAGUAUGUUAGCCCUGACCACCACCCACCAAAAGGCAACAAAACUAACAGUUCAAAACUAUACUGCAGGUUUUCAGCAGAGUACAAAGAUACAAGUCGGGAAAUAACACAUCCUUGAAUGCUGAUCUAGAAUUCCAUCUUUGAUGGGCUAAAAAUUCCUGUUACCCAAGGCGAUUAUGACACAUGAAUUCACUGGAAAAGUCCAAGGACCAUUGGUCAUAUUCCUAAGCACUACAUCAUCAUAAAAAUGAUAAGGUAUAUAUGGUAGGCUCAAUCAUCAAACGCUAGGUGCCCAAAAAUAUGUGGUGGCUGUGUCUAGGUGAAAAAGCUGAAACAUUACAAAUCACCGCUGAGCAUCUCAUAAGGCUAAGAAAAUAGGGCCAUGAACGCCAACUAUCACUGUUAAACCUCGGGCAUGCCCUGGGAAGCAAGAAUAAAAUCACAAGGGCUCCUACUCGCGCUAUCCAUAUCUCAGAAACGGUGAAAAACGUCCGCAGAAAGCCUCAAGUCACCCUAUGGAAUCACCACUUGGCUUGCCAAAGCCGGAACAGAUGAGUAACCUAUCUGUCUGGAUCAGACUACAUGUUGAAACCGUGCUAUGCAUUUCCCUGUUUCCACAGACAUACAGACUUCCCACUGAAUUCCUCAACUGCGUCAACAAUUCAAAUUAAACUCUUGUUUUCUCCAAUUGACAGGCAUAUUUGAACCUACAGAACACCUAUGCUAUCAAUCAUUCCAACAUAAAGAUAGAUCCCAUCCCACCAAGCGGAAGAAGUGGCGCAGAGAAACCACGGGCCAUCACUUGCCCGGUUAAAUCGCAACCUGAUAGACUCAGGUGACACACCUAAUCCAAAUCGCAUCAGAGCAACCAAGAGCACUAGGAUCCCGACGGAAUCCGACGGGAGGCCGCGCGGAGGGGCGGAGGCGGGGGGGCGUACCGUUGGUGAUGAUGGCGCUGGUCUGGGGCGGGACCUUGAACUCCUCUGCGGCGAACUUGAGCACCGCGGUGAAGGGCGCCGCCUCCGGCACGCUGAACCUGCGAGGCCACCGCACGAAACACGCGGAUCAGGACGAGAUCUGGCCCGAGGAGGGGUGGGGGGAGGAGGAAGAGGGGGGAUCUGUACUCACACUUUGAAGGGGAGCUUGGGGUCGGAGGUGAGGAUCACCUUGAACGACACCUUCCCCCCGCCUCCGCCGCCGCCGCCCUCCGCCGCCGCCAUGGGUGUGCUGUGGGUUGCCGAUACGCCGCCGCCGCCUGGUGGUUCGCCUUGCCGGGGUCGCGUGAUAGAAUUUUGGUUCGGCCGAUGCGAUGCGAUGCGCCUCAGGAACCCAGCUAGCCCUUCUUUUCGUGUAGGAUAGUAAUUCCCUUUACGUUACUACUUUUUCAUUUCUUUCCUUUUUAUUAUUCCGUUGGAGAUAUCAGACGAAUAUCUCGAAAGUAGAUGCAUUUUGAAAAAAAUUAUAUAUUUGUACUAUAAAGACACUUUUUGCAGUUCCCGGCUCACUCACACGUUUCCUACUAAAUGACUAAAUGAGGUCCAUCUUGACGAGCUCAUCAAGGAUGAAAUCCUAUGAAAAUAUAGGAUUUAGUGGGCGAUACUCGGGGCAUCCACAUUUUUUUAGGGGUUUGGCAGCAUUCACAUACAAGAUGCGAUUCCUAGGAAUGGUCCUUUCAUCCAUGGAUAUUCAUGAUGGUUUGGAAGGUUCGGGCACCUCCAAAAGUCUUUUUUUUUUUUGCUUGGUUAGCCCUUCAAGAUAGAAAUUGGACAGCAGAUAGAUUGGCAAAGCGAGGGUGGCUAAAUGUGAUCUUUGCCCUCUUUGCAAGAGGGUGCAAGAAUGCGGAUCUCAUCUCCUCUACAAGUGUCGCUACACCCAGCGGCUUUUGGUCUUUGGUCAUUGAAAAAUUCCUCGUACUCGGGCUUGGCACAUCCGCUUGGCCCUUGCUCGACUCGGUGCCGACGGCACGCCAAAACGAUAAGCCAAUGCCUCCCUCAUCAUGAUUUGUCUCAUGAACAAUAUGAAGCAAGCGAAACACAAGAGUUUUCAAACAUAAGAAUGCUCCACCGUCAAUCUUACUUUCCUCCUCCUCUACCGAGGCCAACUUUGGGUCAUCGCCGGUGCAAAGAAGCUAGGAUCUUUUAUUUCGCGAGAGUAAUCCUCAUGUCGUGUAUUUAGGUGUCUUGUAACAAACUCUAUUCUCUUUUACUUAAUGGAUGAGGCAAAGCUUUUGCCUCCAUUCAAAAAAAAGAAAUCCCUUCGCGGGCAACAGACACCAGACCAGCGUAGCCUGAACAUGCUUCAGUUAAGGCUAUGCAAACUGCAGGUUCAGCAAUGGUGAACAAAGAACAAAAUAUAUCUAUCUGAUCAGCAACAGAUUGAUGAUGCGUUCAUAGAUAACAUCACAGCUUUUGCAGGACGGCAUUUUACACACAACUCCGAUCGAUAAACCGACCGCCGGCUACAGUUCAUGACUACCGCUUGCUUGACAGGCCUUGCAGCUGCAGAGUUACAACCUCAAAAUUUCUGCAGCUACAAGGAGCAGCAAACAAGAUCAAAACUCGAAAUACAACUCCAUGCCGUCCCGACGACAACCGGAACCAAGAGAAAAACAACAACGAAUAAAUAGCACCUGAGGUGGUACUAAUGCCAAUGCUUGGGGUCUAUAACUUGCCCCACAUGGGAGUGUUGUUCCAGAACACUCCGGGCAAAGCGACUGCAUAACCAACCGGAUUCCAAGCUCUCGUGUCGAGUUCCGAGCACCCAGGUUUCUUCUUCAGAGCUGCGAGGGGAUCUCGCCUUCCUCCAAGUCCAGGUCGUCCCAGAGCUUCAACGGGGACCUCAUUUCGCCAGAUCCGUCCACGUCCAUCAUCCCAAGAUCGAAGUCGAGGAAGUCGUCGGGGUUCAUGUCCCCAAACAGCUCCUCGUAGGCGUCUCCCAUCUCCUGCUCGAACUCCACGCUGGGCAGCUCUGAGAGCAGCAGCAGCCCUUGAGUGUCGUCGGUGUCCAGUGGGUAGACUUUGGUCAGAGACCUCCUCUUCAGAGCUUCAGGGGUUGUGGUUGGCGCCAGCUUGCUUUCUUGGUUGUCUUCUUCUUCCUGAGGAUGACUCGAGACCUCAGAUGCUAGAGUACUGAUGGGAGACAGCACUGAAGAAUCUAUCUUGCGAUCUGUGUCAGGUGUUUUCGUAUCUUUGGGUGGACCAAUAUUGCCAGGAUCUGAAGCUGCAUGGUUCUUGAGGUCAAUAACCUGCCCCUCUAAGGUCCCACCUUCAACUCCUUCGUCCAAGUCCACUGGGUAGACUUUCAUGCAGGAUUUAGCCUUGGGAGCCCCAGGAGUUGUAUUCGAUGCCAUCUUGCUAUGUUGAUCAACUUCCCCCUGUUUACCACCGAAUGCCAGACCGUGGACAUACGACGGCAUGCUAUCCAUCUUAGGUUCACUCGUAACCUUCACUUGAGAAAGAUUUGUGGUACGUGACGGUCCAGAAUCCUUGAGAUCAAUAACCUGCGUCUCUGGAGACAACUCGCCUUCCUCUAUUUCUUCCUCCUGAAACUCAGUGCCUUCUAUAGGGGGGCUAUCAUUCAAGCUGCCAGGGGGCUGCUCAUUUCUGCUAAUCUUGUUUGCAGGUUUCUCGACUUGAAACUCGUAACUAUCUGAUGGAAGGAAGACAUUGAUAGUUGGGUACUCGACAAUAAGAGUGCCCCUCAGUUGGGGGCGCAAGGGCUCUUCUAUAUUGAGUUGACGGUGUGGCGACUUUGAAUUCUACAGCAAUGUUAAAACAAGAAGUCAUUUUAAUGCAAAUGUAGAGCAAAGAUCAAUAACCGCAGAAGACACAUGGUAACUUGACUGCAGUACCUUGGCAGACUUCUGAAUGAACAGUUUCAAAUCACGCAAUUCAGUAUUGCGAUAUGGCGUAAGCUGGUCCUUCCAAGGGGAAGGAGUCAGAUGCUUUUCCAAUAAAGAUAGCAAGCUUGCAUUCUCGUCUGUCCUGGAAAAGAAGGCAUAAUGAGCGUUGAAGGAACGGAAGAUUCUAUAUUUAUGUGUGGAUCAAGCUAACUAGCGCAGCAUGUAUAUGAAUGUUUAGCUCUGCUUCCAAAUGUUUGGUAGUACUAAGCAAGUGCAGAAUCAGAAAAUAUGUGGCAUAAGAAGUUUGAAAAUGAUAGAUCAUCUCCAUAACAUACAGAGCAACUAUUUCAGAAAUUUUAAGUACUCUUGUACUAAAUCAGCGACAAUUAAUAUGGAUCGGAGGGAGUAGCUUUUACAUGUAUCUCUAAUCAUCUUGAAAUGGUGCUAAACUAAUAAGGAUUGCAAACAGGAAAAACAGGAGGAGACAUUCCAUGCUGAUAGAUUAGAAAACUUACUGGUCGUCAGUUAGGACAAUAUCUGUUGAAUUGAACUUCCACUCGACUGUCCAGUAUAUGCAGUCACUUCUGAAAAGAGAUAUUUACACAUAAGGAGGAGGAGUGAUACUACUGGUAAGGUUCAUUCAAAUGUAUUUAGGCAUAGGAUGCUUGCACAAAUUAUUAACAAAAUAAAACAUUGUAUAUUCAUUCUCAACAUGUUGUAGCCACCGUGCUGACAGUGGUUGUGUUAUUGCCUAAAUAGCAAGGAGAGGACAAACUUGCAUGGAAAACUUAUCAGUUGUGAGUCGAAGCGCCUAACCAUGGAAUCAUGCAAAGGCCAAACUGAAUCAUAAUCACAUUAAGUAUGACAUGAACCACAGCAAUCAAGGACCCUAGAGCAAACGUGCCGAACUUCCGAGUAGCAAAAGUUGUUGAGCAACAUGCAGGCCCAUACAUCCACCGGUGCAACUGGAGCANNNNNNNNNNNNNNNNNNNNNNNNNNNNNNNNNNNNNNNNNNNNNNNNNNNNNNNNNNNNNNNNNNNNNNNNNNNNNNNNNNNNNNNNNNNNNNNNNNNNNNNNNNNNNNNNNNNNNNNNNNNNNNNNNNNNNNNNNNNNNNNNNNNNNNNNNNNNNNNNNNNNNNNNNNNNNNNNNNNNNNNNNNNNNNNNNNNNNNNNNNNNNNNNNNNNNNNNNNNNNNNNNNNNNNNCGAACAAGAAAUACACAUCAUUGGGGGGCCAAAUGGCUAAGCUCUCCUUAAUUUAACCCUCUAAAUUUGUUUCCCUUCAGUAAUUAGGCUACGGCUGGGGGGCCAGUGGCCACCCCAGAGCUGCACUUAGGCAAUUCUUUUAAGUGUCAUCAGUUCUGAUUAAGAGAUUAAAGAUUAAUCAGUUUGUUGAACUAUAAAGAGAAAAAGACAUGAGCUAACCAGGGAACCAAACCACCAACCCAGGCCCAUGGCCCAACUAUUGUCUCUCUCUCAUCUCUUUCUAUCACAUUCACACGCAGGAGAGCUCUAGAGGCAGUUUACAUAGCGCAUCAAGUUCUCCCUUCCUUGACUCGCCCCAGGUCAGUGGCAAAUCAGAUCUCUCCAAAUUAAAUAGCUGGAAAUUAACUCUUGGACGCCCCGUACCCUUGCUCUAUCUCCUCCGAUGGCUUCUCACUUUCCUGAGAAGAGAGGUGUCGAUGGCAGUGGGCUGCAGAUUCGUUAAACUGCAAAAUAUAAAUUAGGGGUUUUCCUACUGAUUUUACAUUCAAUCCUCCCUUCAGGAAAUCUGAACAAUCAGAGUCAUGUUUCACUGCUUGGUCUGUGGUCGCGGCACAGAGCAAUCAGAGACCCAAGCGUUGCUGUCUCAUGGUCUGUAUCAGCCUCAUUCAACAGCCAGACUGCCGAAGGUUGUUUCGUCUCUUCUCUUGCCCCUCUGUUCUUUAGUUUCUUUUUUAAGGAAGUCCUGUUCUUUAGUUAAUUGGUUGUUCUCUCCUGAAGUUGUGCAUCCUUCUGUAUCCUAAUUCUCUAAGAUGUCUUCUAGUUCUAGACAUAGGAGAUUUUCGUUUAAUCCUUUGAGAAAUCUAUACUGCUACAAAUGGUCAAUGAAAAAUACUUUACUCCCUCCGUUCUUUUAUAAGACGUUUUAGACAGCUGACCUUGAACUGUUUUGGGCACUGUCUGAACUGUCUAAACGUCUUAUAAAAGUGGACAGAGGGAGUAAUUGACUUUCUUAUACGCCCUCCGUUCCUAAAUAUAAGCCCUUUUAGAGAUUCCAAUAUGGGCUACAUACGGAGCAAAAUGAGUGAAUCUACACUGUAAAAUAUGUCUAUAUACAUCCGUAUGUAGUCCGUCUUGAAAUCUCUAAAAAGGCUUAUAUUUAGAAACGGAGGGAGUAGUACAUCACCAGGACCCAAAUUUUGGGGGUCGGCCUUGGCAACAUGCAUCAGACGUACGCAAUGAUGUCAACAAGUAGAUGAUUACUGAAUACAUAGGCAAAGCAACAACUCAAACAAGAUAGAGAGCAUUCACUUCUCGACAGCAUCCAUUUGCUUUCAGUAUCUUCAGUUUCAGUCAACAGUUAUUGACACAAAAUCAACUUGCUUGAGUAAUAUAUCAUCACCGUCAUCAUAUAGCGAUAGACAGGAUCGAUCGAUCGAAAGAGCAGCAGUAAGAUAUACCUCCUGUCGUGCCGCGAGCGGUUCUGCUCCCUCCUGGUCAUGCCAGUGGGUUGGAAGGCGAGCCGGACGCCCCGGCGCUCUGCGGCCUUGCGGAGGAAGGAGAGCCACGGCGGCAGCUGGGCGCCAUGGCGUCCCUCGAAGCCGCAGCCGAAGUUGCGGCCGAAGCCGCCGAGCAGCCUGUGGGCCGACUCCCUGACCAUGCUCGUCUCCUCCAGCAAGUUGUAAUCUGCACGCAGAGAAAACAGGGGACGGUCAGCAUGGAUGGAAGCCACGGCGACCGAGGGUCGAGGGACGAAUCUGUUCUAGGAAUUGGGAGGAGGGUACCGGAGAGGAGCUGGUUGUCGUCGAACUGGGCGAGCGGGACGGGGACGGUGCGGGGGCGCUUGCCGGAGCAGGCGGUGCGGCGCUUGUGGGCCUGCACGCAGGGGAGGCUGCAGGUGAGGCGGGAGCAGCCCGGGCACCGGUACUUCCACGGCUGCUCCCCGCACUCCUGGCACGGGGCGCCCUUCUCCCCGCCGCCGCCGCCGCCGGGGCCGGAGCCGGAGCAGGCGGCGGAGGCGGAGGCGGCGGCGCUGGGGGGCGGCUCCCCCUCCAUGCCGAGGCCGGGGGCUGGCGGCGCGGCGGCGGCUUCGGCGGCGGGGGUUUUCUGGCUAGGGUUUAGUGCGGGGUUUAGCUGCGGGGCGGGGCGGCCGCUCGGUCGGCGGCGGUGACCGUUUGCGUCUCUCUGGCGGCGAGCGAGGUGGGAAAGGUGGGUUUUUUAUCCGCCGGAGGAUGAUACACCAAUUACUAAUUUCUAUUUAUGCUUUGAUACUCCGGCAUAGUUUUUGGUAGGGUGUAAAAUAAAGAUUUUUUUCUAGGGUUAGAGUCACCUACAAGAAACACCAUAAAUCUCACUGCUAAGUUUGUGAGGUGGAGUUGAAAUCAACAAGUAUUAGGGUUGCAUGAUGAAAUCAAAAUCCAAACGGGUUAAGGUUGCGAGGCAGAGUUCAAAGUCGGCGUGAGAUUGCAAAGUGGAGUCUAAGUCGACGUAGAGUAAGAUCGCAAGGUGGAGUCGAACUCGAAGCCGAUUGGUGAAGCUGCUGGUACAUCAUUCAAAUGAGCGCAUCGUGGCACAGACUAGGUAGCCGUUGAGCCCAUCAAAAAUUAAAUCCUGAUACAACCCUGCUUCAUUUGUAGUGCAAUUGUUGGUAUAAGUUUUUCUCAUAUACCAAAUUCGUUGAUCUUAAUCUUCCAUCUAAUGUUUCAUUAUACAUAUGUUAUUUUUGUGUCUUAAAUGGUUAAACCUAAAUAAAACUCAAUUAUUUGUUCUUCUUUAAAAAUAUGUUCAAUUAAGGUUCUAUUUUUUCAAUUCUAAAAUUGCCACCUACAAUUUUGCUCUUUAGACCCAUGUAGUUGAUGUUUUGGACAUAAUAAGUCUAGUAAAACAUGGAUGGGGAUUAACUAAGCUCGGGCUCAUAUGAGCUCUGUUGAACAGUAAAAUUCGAAAAAGUAAGAAAAACUGAAGAAAAAAUGUGGCAAAAUUUGACAAAUGUUUUAAAUACUUGCAAAGUUUCACCAUGCAUUCGUGGAAGCUAUGGCAAAAAGAACCAGCACUCCAAAAAUAACCUUUUUGAGUAUCGAUUUUGUUUUUUUAUGACUUCUACGAAUGUCAUUUCAUAUUGAAACUUAACAGGCAUUGAAAACAUUUGUCAAAGUUUGUCACCAAAACAAUUCACAACUUUUUGGAUUUGUUUUCAAUUUUAUUUUUGGAUUUUACUAUUCACUUGAGCUCAUAUGAGCUCGAGCCGAGAAGGACACUUUCGGUAGAACAUCUAAAACUUCCCCUCUCAAUAUAGUUUAAGUAUUUGUGUCUGUAGAAACGCCCAUAAUCUCUUAAUUUAUGGAAUUUUAUAAAUUGAUUAAUAAAUAGUGGUUAAAUUAUCAAAACGGUUGUUUGAAAGGAGUACAUUGUUAAAAAAGAUCCCAUUUCAUAUGUAGAGUUUUUCUCAUAGCAGUAUGGUUUUUUUAGAUCAUAUAUACAACCCCAUUAAGCAAUCUGAUUAUUAUUAUUAUUAUUAUUAUUAUUAUAUGUAGUUCAGAGUUUUUUUUAGAAUUCAGCAUUUUUACGGCCAUGUUUUUAUGACUUCUUUUCUAGCGUAUGUUUAGAUGCCUCUUUUUAGGACAUGUUUUUAUGACUUAUGUGUAUAGAUUUUCUUCACACUCUUAUGGAAAUGUAAGAGAGUGGGAGAAGGCCCUGAGGAGUGAGCAGUAUACAAUUAUUAUUAUUAUCUCUACUCCUAAUGGAGCAGUUGGUAGCCUGGUACUCCGGUUUUAUUUUCGUCCGCUUUUUUUUCCUCCCACCUCCCACCACCCCCUCCCACGGGUUUUCUUAUCAAUUGGUUUAUUUUUUACUCCACUAUUUUCUUUAAAACAUCAGCACUUCCCAAACAUACAAAAGAUCACGGAUCUAACUUUCCUAACUUAUCCAAAUCAACCGAUCUCUCUCAUUAAUGCAAUUUGCUUUAGGAAACAAAUAAAGGAUUUUAAGAAAAUUAACAAGUAAAUCAUGACAAACAAAUCUAAUUGUGGAAGUAUUACUUUUUUUUCUACUCCUAAUGAAGGAGUCUGCUGUCGUGAUGGUCCGUUCGGUCCUCGUUUCGUUCGUUCGUUUCGUGUGGUUGACUCCCCGCACAUGGGCCAAGUCCAGCAAAGCCCACAACACACACACGCAGCACAUCCCUCUACCUUUAGCGCGAGCACCGCCUCUAAUCCCAUGCAUCCUGCCCCUCGUCUCAUCAGCCGUCGCUCGCCAUCCUCGGCACCACCUCGCGCUGUGCUCGCCCACGCGUGCUCGUCCAACAGCCGCUAUAGCCCCUCUACGCCGCCUCGAUGACCUCCUCCGCGGCCCUCCCCACGCCGACCAUGGGCCCUCCAUCGUCGUCAUCCGGAUCCGUGACCAUGACGACCGACCCCUCCCCUUCCUCGUCCGCCCCCUGGCUGCUCUGCCGCCACCUGAGACGGUGGUUCUUUGCCUGAAGCUCGGCAAAAAAGAAGUGUCAUGGACGGAGGGGACCGUCGACAACCAGUUCCUCAGCCACAAGAGCACGCGUAAAGUGAUGCAUCUACCACAAGGAGAUGCCCUUCGAAGAGGACUGCAGCGACAACAAGAGCGGGCCGCGGGAAUCCAUCCGGGGGACAGCGGCGAGGGGACCAGCGCGGCAAGGGUGGCUGCUCUUCCUCUACCAGUGGCCAUGAACACAACCACAGACCACCACUGAGCUCUGGUUCGAUAGGUAUGAUUUGGGGGUUGUUGAUGCUUGUUGGUCGAUUUAUUGUGGUAGAUAUCAUUAGAUAUUUGGGAGUUCCCAUUCUAUGACCAGUCUAGGAAAAUAUUGUUGCAGGGUAGUAUAGUCAACAGGCAACUGGGAGGAUCAGAUAUGGAAUUCAUUUAUACGAAACAAAAAUCCUGAGGCAGUAAGGCUCCUCUUUAUUUUGUGUCUAAUUACAGAAGUAUUUAUUUUUUAUCUGAGGUUUUGUAGAGUUGUAAGAAUCAUUGCCCAUAAUAGAAAGCUUAAGGCAGUAAGGCUCCUCUUUAUUUUGAGAAAUAAUUGUAAUCCUAGGUAUCCUGAUAUUAUGGUUUUUGAAGGCUUAGAAAUCACACAAGCUGCCUUGGAAACUGAUCUAUCAACACAUAUUCACCACCGGAUCACAAUCUACAACAAGAUGACAAAAGUGCCUAGGUGUUGGUAUAUUUCUAAUACUCAUAUCUCAGAGUAUGAGUUAUUUCCCGAAUGAAUUCUUCUGUGCAGCCUAUAUAAUUUUAAUUAUUAUGUAGGAGAUUAUACGGCAAUCCUUCCAAGUAUUAAUUGUUCUGAUAAUAGUAGAGGGCCUCCAUGCACAGGGUAAAGAUUGAAGCUUUGACCUUACACAGUAGUAAUUUUUGGAGCUAUGCUAACUUUGUCAUUGCAGUUUGUUUUGUAGGCCCCACUUUUACCAUAUUGGCAUAGGUUAAUACACGAUUACAAUGUGGUCAUAUUCUUUGAAAUACUUUCUGUUCGAUAGAACUGUUUGAACCUUGCGAUCAUUCAAAGAAAAUUUUACUGUCAAACACAUUAUUUCUUGAGCAAAUUCUGCUUAUUCCAUUUCACCAAAGUGGCUAGUUAUUGAGUAAGUAAGGAGUAUACAACUGUUUGGACAUCUGAAAGAUGUACCGGCCCAUAUUACAGGAGGGGUAUGUAGAGAGCAGCCCACAACGCCUGCCAUACCACAAGCCCACGCGGCCGGCGCCGCCAAGCUCCCUCGGCGGGCCGUCGCCAGCUCGUCGUCGCCGUCGUGUCCCCAUCCUUGCCAGCUCGAGCGCCGCCGCCGGCCAGUCGCCCCACCCCUGCCGGAACACUGUUCCGGUUGCACUGGUGAGUCGAAUCCACUCGUCUCCUCUCGUCCGUCUCCUCCCCGCCAAUCCCCGGGUUGCUGCCUGAAGCGGCGGGUCGGAUUCAGAGAGGGACCUGCCACUCGCCACCUCGCCCUCCGGCGACGGCGACCUCGCUUGGCCGAACCACACCGGCACGGCGGUGAGUUCCUUCCUUGCCCCUCCUCGCUCCUCUAGAUCCCUCUCGCUGGGAGAACCCCUGCCUAAAACGGUGAGAUUCCGAACUAAUACAGGGCACCGGACGAGAGAUUGUUCGGCAGAAUGCAGCGGCCGGUGGGUCAAGCGACAAAGAGCACACACCAAUCCAUUUAUUACUGUAAUUGUUAUGCAAAACAUCCGGUCCGAGCGGCAAGACAAUGCGUAAUCGUAACGCAUUCGCAUGUGAAAGCCAUUGCAUAAUUGAGGUACAUGGCGCACGAACUCUACUUAUUUGGACGGCAUAUAUGAUUUUUUUGUGUUCAUGCACCUGACACAAGUUUCUCCGCACGCACUCUUGUACAGAAAAAAGGCAACGAAGCACAGUAGUAUACUCGACAACAACAAGAAGACCAAAAACCACAGCACCGGCAACUCGAGACUGCUUCUGAAUCCAUAAUGCCGGUGUUCCUCUCACCCCAGGUUCUCUCCCAGUUUCCUUAUCCUGAAAACACACCUUGAGAUCACUAAAGGGGAAAAAAAUGCACCUGAAUUCCUUAAAUUGAUAUGGGUAGAUAACAUCGGGAGCUAAGAACUAUCAGUGUAUAUUCAUGUCAUGUCAAGUAAAUCAACUGAGAUUCCUUGAAAUACUUGCAAAUUAAAACGAUGAAAUCCAGUAGGGGAUCUUUUAGACAUUGAAUCGGUUGAUUAUCUGCAGAAAUUUUUUCAAAAUCCUGCGAUGCACAACUUGAUACUUCACACUGCAACUGAAACAUUGUUGCCACUCAUCAUUCAUGCCAUGUCUCUGCAGCCGCACAAGAUCUCCAAACUGAAUGGAGCAAUUGCGUGUAGUUUUGAAAAUUGCUUGCUCCUAAGUGAAUUAAUUCGAAGGGAAAUUACUCCCAAAGGGACCUUUAUACUAAACUGAAGGAAAUAUGUUUUGCAAUAAAAAAUAUCCACUAAAUAAUCAGGAAUGAUAUAAGUGCAGAAAAAAAAUUGGAGCUAUAUUGCUGAGUCUUGUACUCCCUCUGUCCCAAAAUAAGUGUCUCAAAUUUGUACCAACUUUAGUACAAAGUUGUAUUAGAGUUGAGACACUUAUUUUGGGACGGAGGGAGUACUAAUGCAAAGCACAUUUAGUCUUGUAAGAAGUAGGGAAAUAAAUGAACAUGGGACUAUGUCUUAUAUAUGUUAAUAAAUUUUGUUUUGCCAGAAGGUGGUAUAGGGAAGGUAUACCGUAUGCUUACAGAUUGCCUUUGGAGUGCUUUGCCAACAAACUUAUCAACUGGAGAUGGUAUCAGCUUGAAGUUGAGGGCAUCCUUUGAUAUUAUACUCCACCUGACCAGAGGAUGGCAAGCCUUUCAAGCAAGAUAGUGCCCCACAAUCUUUGAUGGUUAAGUUGGUCAAUGCCUUGCAUGAGUGGAGCCUUAUGGUUGUUAAAGCUGAACACGUCAUUAUUUCAACUUCACUUAGCUCAGAACAAUUGAAGUCAAUCUUAACAUCCUUCAGGGAGGACAUACCAAUCAAGGAUAGUUUCUUCAGGUAUGGCAGCUCCUCAAAUGGUGGCAGGGUUUUCAUUGCUGUACAGUCUUGGAGUUGGAGGCUUUCCAAAUUGCCGAGUGAGAAAUUUCGUCCCAACCAUGUUGGAGUAGCACCGGCGUAGUUUAUGACAAGAAGAUGCGCAAGGUCACCAUGUGGUUGAAGACCCUCGAUCACUUCUUUCUGAACAUCAUUAUUUUCUCCCCAUGAGAGUGACAGUGUCCUUAGAUGUUCCUUAUCUUCAAUCCUUGCACCGCUGGCCUCUGCCUUAUCUUUGACAUUCUCAAGACCAAGGAUACUAAGCGACCCUUUGAUCUCCUGUAAGUGUUCCAGCUGCGAAAUAUUGAAGUCACUCCCUUUUUGAACCUGAAAUUCAUGCAGCUCUUGUAGAAGCUUAAGUUCUCCAACUCUUGAUAUCUUCGAGUGCAAUGAUCCUGACCCCGGAACAAGCAGAUAUUGUAGGUUCAAGAGAUUACUGAUAGACUUAGGCAAAUCACUUAGACCACUCCAAUGUGUGAUGUCCAAUACUAUUAGGUGGUAGAGCUUACAUAUAGCCUCAGGCAAAGGUCUGUGCUGGUCUGAACUGUACCUCAGUUCUAAAUAGCGAAGAUGGAUGAAAUUUUGGACACUGGAUAGCAAACUGUCAACAUUAAAGGGCAUUGCUGAUAACUUAAGUAUCUGGACAUAACUUAAUUUCUCCAAAGCCCCUACAAACUUUUCAGAGAUCUUUUCAUCAUAUAUACCUACAAGCAUUAAACUCUCCAAAGUUUUCAGAAUAUCUUUUUUCUCAAUUUCAUCCAACUUUUUUUCAAAGGUUUUAUGAUGUCCUAUAAUUUCAUCCUUGUAGACCGACUCAGUCCAGAUGCCCACAUGACGAAUGGAUGUGAAGACCUUCAGAGAAUCUGAGCCAUCAACAAGAAGGCAUUCAUGCACUGAAACUUCUUGGGCUACAUCAUGCAUUAAAUCAUGCACGAUGAAGUGCUGUUCAUCUUUCUGAAAGAAGCUCCGGUCUAUCAAAUCAUCAAAGUUGUCACUUCCGGCAUCUUCUAAUUUCUUUCUCUCGUCCAUGACAAAACCAAGAGCAAUCCACAUACGUAUCAACUGCUCCUUCUCAAAUCUGUAACCUUUUGGAAACAUAGCACAAUAUGAGAAUAGCUGCUGAAGGUGAUAGGGGAGGUGAUUGUAACUGAGCUUUAGUGCUGGUAUGAUGUCAUCCACUGUAUUUGAUAACUUCCAUUCAUCACUUUUUAAAAUACGUUUCCAGUAAACUUCAGUAAGGUUUCUCCUCAAAAGUGUGGCUACACUUUUAGCCGCUAAAGGAUUUCCUUUCAGCUUGAUGGCUAUCUCUUUCCCGAUUCCUUGAAGCUUAUUGUUUCCUUGAUAAUUCUCAUCACGAAAUAUGCAUCUUUUGAAGAAGGGCCAAAAUGUUUCAUCAUUCAUACCACCUAACUUGAUAUGUCCCUCCACUUUGCUUGUUAUAUUGGCAACAGAGAACUUCCGCGUUGUCAUCAAAAUCACAUUACCCUUGGAAUCUGUACAUCUAAGUGGAGCCAACAGUUUGUCCCAGCGAGCCUCGCUCUCUUCCCACAUGUCAUCCAAAACAAGCAAAUAUGUUUUCUUGUGCAAGUAUUUGUUGAUCACACGUUGAAGCCCAUUGAGAUGUUUGAUGUUUGCGUACUCCGAGGCAGGUGCUAUUUCUUCAAGAAUCCCUUGUGCGAGCUUGAUUUCAUCAAAAUUAGCAGAUACAUGGACCCAGAUCUUGAUGGCGAAGUCAGCUCCCACUUGCGGGUUAUGGUACACCAGUCGAGCAAGUGUGGUCUUCCCAACACCUCCAUGACCAACUAUUGGCAGAACCAGAAGCUCUUGAUCACUGAAUUUACUUGCACUAAUUAGUUUUAGAACAUCAGCCUCCUCCUUCCUCGGGAACAACUUGGAUUCAGUGAAGAAUUCUACUGCCGCGCCUAUGUUUGUGCUUGUGUUUUGAAUUGCUGCAAGCAGUUUAUCAUGUUUCUCAAUCAAGAGAGCAGCGUGAACAUUGUCACAGAUCUUAUGCAGCUUCUCCACAGUAUUUCCUAUGUCUUUGAUUUCAAAACUUGUCAAUUUCCCCUUGGAUUGAGUCAUAGAUUUCAUUGUUGAUGUAAACUGAUUGCGGCCCUUCAGUUUCAUCUUUUGUAUCUGUUCAUCGUACAUUGGAAGUGUUAGAAUUAAAACUCUUUUUUUUUCAUAUCGAUAAUACAAACUUUGAUUUCACAGAGCAAAUCGGCAUCAACAUCAAGAAAGCUGAGAUGUACUCGGCUGGCACCAACAAGCGCAGAGGAUGCACCACACUGAACCGAAGGAGAAAAAUGUUGUUUGAAAUGUGAAUGUUAGGUCUAUCAAAAUGCAAUGAAAGGAUGCAAUCUGACUACCUUUCCCUACAUUUCUGCAAGAGUCUGUUUCCAGGACUUGAACCUGUGACGGUCACAAGGCAGCACUUUUACCACUGCGCCAAGGAAAUGAAGGGGGACCUCAUGGCGCAAAUGCUAUAUUUCGCUAAGUGCAGGCAAUAGUGAGCGGUCAGAUCCUCCUAUCCAUUGCCUUAAGCAACAAACAUCAGUAAAUCACACAACUAGGAUGGCUCAAAAUAAGUGCACCCACAUGCCGCUUCCACUAGUACUAGCAAAAUAUGGUGAUGUUCGCUCGAGAAAAUAACAAGUUGGAGAAACCACAACUCCUAGCUCCAGAAAAGCUGACUAAAGUUAUCAGACUGAUUGAAAAAAGUAUUGUUGCGAAAAGUCCAUGAAUUCUAAAAAAUCCCAUUAAUAUUAAAUAUUUAUCAAUUACAAAAAAUUCAAAAAAUAUAAAAAUAUAUUAAAGAAUUCUUCAAAAAUGCUCGCAAAUUUAAAAUAUUUGUGAAUCUAAAAAAUGUUCACAAUCUUUUAAAAUAUUCAUGAAUUCAAUAAAAUUCCAAGAAUAAAAUAAACAAAGAAAACAAUAAAAUGAAUAAAGGAAACGAAACAUAAAGAAAAAAUGUAAAAGAAAGACCGGUAGAAAACCUUAAAAAACGCUGAUAAAACAGGAGGACAAAAUCGCUAGCUGGCUCAGCCCACGACAGCGAUUUCUAACAAUGGGCAGCGCUUUGUCUUGCUUCGUGCGAGACAGAAGAUCCCCUCGCCUCAAAUGCUUCCUUAAUUGCCCGGCCCAGCGCGCAGGAGCGUUGCCUCCUUUUUGUUAUUAUUACUUUCAUUUACAUAUUUUACCCCUAAAAAACUUUUACUUACAUUUUUGAAAUGGAAAAUGCCACUAUAAUUAUAGGACUGUGAUAUUUGGCACACAUGUGCCAUAUAAGCAAAACUGCCACACCUCUACUUCUUUCAUUUUAAAGUACCACACGAUCCCUCGUCCUUUGACCUCGCCUCCUCCCAAACGACCCCGCAGGCUCGCCCGAGAAACCUGCUUCUCCCGCACAUCUCGGGCGCCCACCCCCGAGAAAACUGCCACUUCUUCACGUCUACCACAUGAUUUCUCCUCAGGACAAAGUUACCAUGGUAUUCGUAUGCAAGUUAUCAGGCCUGUGUUGCAUAACUUACCGUGCUAUUUACAUAGAACGUACCAGGUGUCUAUGCUUCAACAACUACAUCCCUUCAAAGUUACCACUGUGUUUUGUACACAAAUUAUAAGGUCUUCGAUGUGUAAAAUACCGUGGUACUUACACAUAAGUUAUCAGGGUAUAUGUACAUCAACCUCCCCCCGCUCAAAGUUACCAUGAGGGAUUGUACAUGAGUUACCGGGUCUACAGUUCGUAUAUUAUCAUGGUACUUGCACCUAAAAACCUGGGUGUGUUUCGGUAGCUUUUUCCAUAGGUCAAAAAUUACCACGAUGUUUUUGCGUAACUUAUCACGCCUAUAGCACGUGUGCCCCUCAUGACACUAAACAUUAUGUGACUUUCCGGUGGCACGCCAUGUGUUAUGUUCAUCCAAGAGGCCCACGCGCGAGGCGAGUGUAUGUUUUUAACAACUUAGUUUCCUUUGGUAAAAACGUUACCAUCAUGUUUAUAUUGCAAGUUAUCGGUUAUGCAGUGCUUAUAUUAUCAUGUUAUUUACACAAAAAAUAUUGGGGAUGUUUUGAACAACUUUUUACCGGGACAAAAAGUUAUCAUGGUGAUUCUAGGUAACCUAUCAAGCCCGUAGUGCUUAAAAUAUCAUGCUAUGUACACAAAAUUUAUCAGGGGUAUGUUUCAGCAAAUCCCGCCCCCCACGGGUCAAAAACUUAUCAUGGUGUUUAGUUAUCGCAGUACAUAUGUUUUCAUGCUAUUUACACAUGAAAAUGCCAGGGGAGGGAGGUAAACUACCGUGCUAUUUACACAGAAGAUACCGGAGUAUCUUUUCAAAAAAAAUCCCUACAGUCAAAGUUACCAUGGUGUUUCUACCUCAGUUAUCAGAUGUGCGCUGCGUAUAUUACCAUCUAUUUACACAUAAAUUAUCGGGUAUCUUUUCACAUUUGUCUUCCCCAAUGGUUAAAGUUACCAUGAUGUUUGUAUCUAAAUUAUCAGGUCUAUGGCGUGAAUGUUAUCGUGCUAUUUACAGAAAUUACCGGGGGGCGGGUUCAACAAAUUUAUUCCCAAUGAUCAAAGUUACCACGAACAUGUCAAAAACAGUAUUUCCCUUAGCUUGCUCAACAAUGAGUGUCAUAGGUGAGGUGGUUAGCUCCCUUUAUUGAUUACCUGCAGACCAGAGAUCAAAUCCUAGUCCAAGCAUUAUUUUUGCCGAAAAUCGGGAAGGCGUGUGGGCCAUAAUUGACGAUUACGAAAAUUAGGAAGGCACGAGCGGGUGUGCCGGGGGGGAGGGCAUGCGAGAAAGGAAAGAAAUCGGAGGAGGUAGGUGGGGGAAGACAUGCGGGAAAGGAAGGAGAUCGGGAGGCGUGCGGGAAAGGAAAGAAAUCGGGCGGACGUGCGGGGAAGGAAGGAGAUCGGGAGGGAACUGACGGUGCUGGAUGCGUGUGGCAGUUUCGCAAUCUGUCACACGGUUGCCAUAUACAUAUUUCGAUAAUUAUAUGUUAAAAUAAAUUCAUCAAACGUUAUUUUUUUUCAUCCACAGUUAAAAACUAUUCGUGCAACUUUUAAAAAAUGUUUAUACAUUCAAAAAAACUUUCUGACAUUUUAAAAAUGUUUAUGCAUUGUAAACAAGUGUUGGUACCGUUAAAAAACUAGUCAUGAUAUUUAGAAAAAUCACACUUUCAAAAAAUGUUCAUGACAUCCACAAUAAAUGCUUAUACAACGUAAAAUAUUGUAUGCAUAAGUCUAGAAAAUGUUUUGUACCAUUAAAUUUAACGUAGUUGACAUUUAAAAAUUGUUCAAACAUUCCAAAAAAUAAUCGUGAUAAGUUAACAAAAACUGCACAAUGUAAAUAAAUGUUCGUAUAAUAUGAAAAAACUAUUUCAUACCACUCAAAGAAAUGUCCACGCAUUUUAAUAAAAAAUUUCAUGAAAUGUUAAAAAAAUAAUACAUUGUACAAAAUGUUUGCCUAAUAUAGAAAGUAUUUGUACCAUUGAAAAUAUUCAACAUAUGCUUCAAAAUGUUUAACGGAUAUUCAAAGAAAAAAUAUCCAAACGUGUAUUUCAAAAAGAGAUAAUCAUGUAUUUUAAAAACAUUCAAUGUGUAUCAAAAAACUAUUACGUGUGCUUAGUAAAUGUACAACGUGCAUUGAAAAAGUAAACAUGUAUUUAAAAAUUAAAAAUAUUUAAAAAGAACCAUUAAAUAAAGAUGGAAAACCAACCUGAAAAUAGGAAAUAAAAAUAAAAAGGAAAGCUAGGAAACCAGUAAAACACACGCGGAAAACCGAAAACCGCAACAAAAACAGAUGAAAACCGCCAUAGAGAACACAAAAAUACACGCUAAACCUGUUAUAGAAGCUUCCCUGAAAUCCGCUCCCGAGGAGCCAUAUUAGGCCAGCCAUCUGGCUCUAUCCUAGUGCGAGACAAUACUCUGUCACAGUAGGCGACAUAUAGUUUCGCGUUUCUGCAACAAGCGAAGAAUAAGAUACUGCGUGGCCACUUACGCUUACGCACAUGAUGUAGUAGGCCGACCCAGCAAGCGGAUAUACAUCAUUUUUUUUCAUUCUGGUUUCUUUUCCGUUUGUGCCGGGUCUAGCCCUCAAAACAGAAGUUUGUUCCGAGUAUUUUAUUCAAUUUUCUGUUUUCAUUUAUGAUUUUAACUCUUUUUAUUUAUGGUUUUAGUUUUUAAUCUCCUUUUCCGUUUAUUUAUUUUUGCGAAAAGAGCCUGAAGAUCACAACUAAUAAGCCGAGACUACAACAGUAGCCCUAACAAGAAAAAAAAGUAUUAAUGUGAACAACACGAACAUCACCUUCAGGAUGGGCUGAUGGCGCACCGCCAACACCAUCGGUCCACGCCCGGAGCCAAGCCAACCAUGUAUGAACCGCCAGACUGUAAGUUGCUGGACAGGAAGUCAUCGAGCCGUCCUUGAAGGACCAACAUCCCAAAGAAGGAGACUUUGCUGCAUCUGGACCAUCGUGAACGCACGCAAAUCCGGAAUGCUUCUCAUCGGCAAUGAAGCCCGCACUGGUGAAGCAGGGAAGAAGUCCCAAAACCAAAAUCUUCUGCGUGACCGCUGCCCUGCCACGCCAACCAGACCAAGGAACCCUAACCCCGUCUCUCCGUCGGAGCGGCAAGAAUCUAAUUCCACGAGCCCUACUAGACCGCCAGAGAGGCCACUGGCCGAAGAAGGCAGGAGCUCGGGAACACACAUCGCCAGAAUGCCGCCGCCACCUACUCCAAAACGACGGCGUGACACACCCAUAUCCACACCGCAUAUACAUAACAGAGCAGAGAUUUGGGGUUCCCGCACCAACCUACCGCCGGAACGGCCGACGGUGGGGGAAGGAACUCAUGGUUUUGCCGGCGGCCGCGGGGGGAAUCGAAAGCGCCUAUCGAACCUCCUCAGGGGAAAGUGGUAACCACUAAUAAGAUUUCAAACUUCUUAUUUCCUUUUCCAUUUUAUUUUAUAUAGUUUUGGUUUAUUUUGUUUUUUUCCUUUUCCUUUUGUAAGUUUUUGUUCUUGUGUUCAAUUUUUUUCUAGUAUUCCAUUUCGUUUCUUUUUUAUUUUUGUUUAUCUAUUUCCUUUUUGAAAGUAUUUUUUAAAUACGAUGAAUAUUUUUUUAAGUGUGUGAACACUUUUUAAAACAACAUGAAUGUUUUUUUAAAGACGUGAGCACUUUUUUUUACAAUCACACGAAUAUAACUUUUAAGAACUACGUGAAUAUUAUUUAUGACUUGAAAAUAGUUUAAAAUACGAUGAACAUUUUAUAAGUUGAUGAACAUUUUUCUAAAAAUGCAUGUUUUUACGAACCAUGAUAUGUGAAACACUUUUAAAAAUUCAUGACCUUGGUUUUAAAAUUUCAUUAACAUGCUAAAAACGUGUAAACUUUGCCUCUAAAUAUGCAAACACUUUUUAAAAUUCUUAAUAAGAUUUUUAAGGGAAUGCUUAAUCAUAUUUGAAAUUACUUGUUGAAAAAAAAAUACAUGAACACUUUUUUGAUGACUUGAACUUUUUUUUAAUAAAAGAACACCUAUAGCAGCUCGCUUGUCUCUCUAGAAAAACCCGAAAUGCUCUCUCUCUCUCUCUCUCUCUCUUAAUAUUGCUACUUUAUAGUUGAGACUAAUGUUGAUUGAGCAAUUCUACAUCUAGAAAAUUUCAAAUCAAAUAAAAUCAAGGUGAUAAUCAUGGCAAGGGUUAAUUAAUUUUUUAUACCAAGGUGGGUAAUUGAGUUUAUGGUUUAUCUAUUUGUUCAUUUGGCAAAUUUAUGGAAACAAUCAUAGAUGUACAUCAUGUUAUGACAUCAACACCUAUAGAAAAUCAUUCAAAAAUAAGAGCGAGUAUGCCCUGCACAGAAAAAAAAACCCAACCUAUGUUUAAAAUUGUGCAACAAAAACCAUUAUUUUUUAUGACCAAUUUGAUUAUAUUUUCCUAAAAAUGUAUUUAAAAUGCACAUGAUUUUUUUUAAAUAGAAGGGCAUAGUAGAUGGCUAUUCUUUUGUUGUUUAUUUUUUGUGAAAGAUGGCGGGUUUUCCCUCAACUUUUCCUUAGGACAUAUUUGAUUGUGAACAAUAAUUCAUGGCUAGAUUUCUACAACUAACAAUCAUAGUCUAGACGAAGCACUGAAAAACUAAUCCAUAUUAGUGAGACAUAUAUGGCAUGAAACACUUGUAGUUUUAACCCUGGUAGGCUAGGAGUACAAUCACAUGAGCUAAUUAGCCACUGGACCAAUGGCUGGUGUACCUUUUGAAGGCUCAUAGCUUAUCUCUGAGAUACAAAGUUUUUAUUUCUACAACAAAAGGAGACAAUACAAUUUUAUAUAGUUGGACACUAUGAUCGACUUUUUUUGCAAGAUAACAUGGGGNNNNNNNNNNGGGGUAAGGCAUCGUCAAAUUUGAAGUAACUGGAUUCUUACACAUAGUUUUACCAUUCCUUUUAAGAAAACUAAGGGUCCUAAAAGUUAAAACGAUAGAUGCAUUUCUUAGUGUUUUGAGGCCAUCAACCGUCUGAUUGCAUCACCAACGAACCAGAUCUUCGGUCAUCCCAAAGCGUGCACCCUGGCCUCGUUCAACACGCUGCCCUGCCCGAUCCAGUUGGCGCAAUGUAAACGGGCUGCUGCUCCACAGACCAACUAUGCUAUCUUGACGUUGAUUUGUGUUUUUAGCGGGUUUGCGGAUGAGCAAGUUGCUAUGCGCCCUGUUUGGAAGUCGGGCGUAGAGGGCAACCUCUUGUGUUUAACCAAUUGUGUACCCUUUUUGUCCCAACCUCUAUGUCCCACGGCAUCCGUGAACCGUAGGUGUCACAGCCGCCGCUAUCAUCGGCCCUGGGCCUAGGCUCCGAGUGCAGCCGCCUAGGGCCCGGCCACGGCAAGGGCCCAUACCUUGUGUACGUUUGCUUGUUUUUUAGAGAGAAGUUUGCUUGGUAUUUACUAAUACUAUGUCAUAGAAGAUAGAAGAAGAAAAGAAGUCGAUCCAGCAGGCCUAGCCCAGUAGGAGAUAGGCAUUUUAUACUGGUACUAGCAUUACUACAAAUCGAUCGAGUAUUACAAGCUGAGACGUUAAAUGAUGUCUCAAUUGUUCUAAUUCUUUAAGCGUUUAAAUAAACGCCUCUUGUACUAGAAAUGGCUGAACUUUUGUACCAAAAUUCAUAUUUACACAGAAAAAACCAUGUGGAAUUGUGGUCAGAAUUAUUUUUGCAUGUAUUUCCGUUUCAUCAUUUGGGUGUAUGCAUGCAUCCUACCUAUGAAGAGGCCGGAUGCGUGUUUAUUGUAUUCGUAUGCACUUAAGUCGAUAAAAGCUACCGUUGGCUUCAUUGUGUUUCAUCAUCAUUUGCUUCAUUUUAAGUCGAUAAAAUCUGUUCUUUGUCGAAAAUUUCUGUUCACCGCGUACAGGUGAGCUCGAUCGAGCAUGGAGUCGAGACUUGCCAACAGCAUACACCAAUCUACUAACUGUCCCAAAUUCAGGCCUAGUACAAACGCACCUUUUCCUCCAGAUCAUAGUACCGGAGCUUGUCGAGGUACUUGGCCAGCUUGACCGCCUGUUCCUGGACCUCCGUGAUCUGCCGCGCCAGCUCCUGGUUCCCGAUCAUGACCCCCGAGGUGGCUCCGGCGGUCACGGAGCCAAGGACGAGGUUGGCUCGACUCAGCUCGUGGACGAGAUGCUUCACAUCCUUGUUGAAACCUUCCGACCCCAGCAGUGCUUGGAUGGCAGCGUCUUUGAGGUGGUCGAGCAGCUUGUUCAGCACCCAUGUCGUCGCCGCCGCUGCGAGGAAGAUGGGAUCCAUUUCUCGACCAAGGCGAGGAGAAUCCAAGGACGACUAGUCCGGCGUACUGUUCGCGGUUUCAUUUAUUACGCUCACCGGCCAAAUUUUGUAGGAUCGGAAGAUGAUUGCGUUGGGUGGGAGCGAUACGCGUCGCCUCUUCCACAGCCACAUGUCGCGUGGUUCCGCUCUCUUCCCCAUCGUGGCCCCUCGAACGACCUUUCCUUACCUCUCAUUUUCUUUCUUUUGCUCUCGCUUCCUGUACUGCUACCUCCCUCCUAAUCUAUUGGUCUUUUUAGUAUUUUAUACAUAAAAUUUUUUGAUCAUAAAUUUAACUAAAAAAAUAAUAAUGCAUGUCAAAAAAUUAUAUCCUUUGGUUCGUAUUUGAACAUAGUUUUUAAUGAUAUUAUUUUUUGUUACAUGCAUUAAUAUUUUGUUAGUUAAAUCUAAGACCAAAAUUUAACACAAAAAUGCGAAGGGGACUAAUAAACCAGGAAGAAGGCAGUAUACUGCACCGAAUGAAGUACAAACGACAUGUAUGCAGUUAGACCUGUAAUUAGAUGUCUUUACCCAACAUGGUGACGGCAUAGUCUUCGGAUUGGUCCACCACCUCCUUCGACAUAGGCAUAGUGUUGAAUCUAUAUGACUAUAGUUGCUGAUAUGUCGGCUUUUAUCUUCCUUAAGUUUGUUAAUAUUUGGUUCUGUGCAUCUUAGUUAUGCAAAGGCCUGUUAUAGUUUCUUGAGGCUAUAUUUUGAGUCAAUAAAAAUACCCUUUAUCAAAAAAAUCAUCGCAAUGUGCCCUCACCUAUGACCACACAUAAUCGACGCCUGCUACUGCUGCUCCUCUCCCCGUCCCCCAUGGUACUCCUUCAUUUAUCUCUAAACCAACAGCUCUCGACCGUUUUAUAGAUAAAGUACAGGCCAAGAAACUCUUUUACAAAGAAGAUCCUAGGAUAAUUAGAUCAUUCAUAGCACACGUCUAUGCUACCAAAGUAGAAAACACCUGAAUUCCAUGACAACGUCCUCAGAAUGGGAUACGGUCAAGGUUCUGAACAAUGGAUAGGAAAUUCCUGUUCAUCAUGUGCCCACUGGCUGGAACAAGGUACAUACACAAUGCAAUAAGUAGAAAGUACUUCUUGAACUUAUCCCUCUCCAUUAUUCCUGGCAGCUUGUCAACAAAGUGCUUAACCGGCUUUCCACUGCCUCUUGCCUCUUCUCUGAAUUCCUUUUCUUCUUCGGUUGGGUCCCUAACCUUGUGGUUGCCAGGUCCAUGACGAGGCAUUAAAACUUCUAUCCUACCAUCUGAUUAGCAGUGUUUUCUUCUUUCAAUCAACUUGGUCAAUCAGCCAAAGAGUUAUGACUCUUGGGAGGCGGCAAUUUGACAUAUCUAAAAAGUGAGCAAACCCAAGCUCAACCACACAUUCUCUCUGCGUUUCAUUUAGUGGUUUAACAAUUUCAUGAACUUGAUGAGGCGCACACUUGAACCCAAUGACUUGUAAAAUAUUCACUUAUGUUAAUUGAUUGCAGCAUUUAUGUUUAGCAAGCUAAUUACAAGCAACAUGGAGAGCGGUUAUUUUGGAUGAGUUGUACAUACCGGUCUAUGCUCAACGUUAGAUUGUCUACUAGCCUUCCUGACCCUGCCAGGCAAUGAUUUCCUCCUGUUACGGCAUUUUCUUGUUCUUCUUUGGUUCAACUACUUCCUCAUCUAUGCUGUAAUCUGAUCCUUUAGACUCGGAGCUGGACUCCACGAUCUUGACACACUUCUUCUUUUUAAUCUUCUUCCUCUGCUUAGCAUGCUCACCGUUAGAACUUGGGCCAUCUCUUCCGUCCUUUGGCUUCCUCUUUCUUUUAGUGCGCUCGCUUUCUGACAUAUAAUCUCUUCUUCCUUUCACCUUCCUAUCCCUUUCAAACCAUUCAUCCCUUUCAUAUGAAGCAUGUCUCCUUCCUUUCAUCUUCCUCUUUCUGUCGAUAUCCUCACUCUCUGAAGUAGAUUCAGAUUCAUUGCUUUGCACCUCCUUCUUUGACUAUGCUUUUGUUUUUGUUUUCUUCCUGUCUUGAUUGUGUUCACUUUCUGACCUGUUGUCAUGCUUCCUACGAUGAGACUUGCUUCUUUUAUCACGGUUGUAAUGAUCUUCCUCGCUUUCAGAUAGGUCCUCAUCGUAUUUACUGUGUUUUCUUCUUGUUUUCAGGGCUUCCUUUAUACCUGCCCGUGCUCUGCUUCCUCAAAUCAUGCAAUGGUUCUUUAGACUCUGUUUUCUCUGAUUCGCUAUCAGGUAUAUCAAUUUUACGUCCUUUUUGUAAAUCUAGGCGAUCUACGUGCGAGAAGCUCAUUUCCAGAUAGAUUUUCUUCCAUAUUAUCCAGAGUUCAGUGAACAUGCAAUCCACUUAGUAAUCAAAUAAUCUACUAAUCAAAGCAUGAAUGAAAAAUACGAAUACCAUGCCAAACUAUAAGAUUGGCAAAAAAAUUAUGAAAUUGCAUCGGGCAUAUACAGCCCCACAGUCCUUCAACGACAAAACCCCAAAGAUUUCUGGAAUUCAUACAAAAUGUAGAAAUAAACAAAUGAAAAAUGCCCCCCGCCCCACACACACACACAAAAAUAGCAAUUCUCACUAGACAACAACUACACAAUAACAUGCUGCGCUCGAAGCAAGAUCUGUUAUAUGCUCACGAUAUUCCGUGGAUUUCUUAUAUGUUGAGAACCGGGAAAUUGCAUCGACCACAGACCGUAUCAAUUGCAUGGAAUGAUGGGACUGAUGGAUAUUUGGGAUUCGAGUUCCUCCAUCUAACAAAUUGAAAGCGGCAACAUAUAAUGAAGGGGUUCGACUUUGUUACUAUCGGCUGAAAGCACAAGUGCUCCCUGUGUGAUUUUUGGCAAUUAAUAUCAACAUAUCUCUUGUUGGACUAAUUGUUUUAUCUAGUAUAUUUCAGACAAGUUCAACAGUGGCAUGGCAAGUACAAGAGUACGUGGAACCCCUUCAAAAUGCUAAGGCCUAAGGACAUACAUUGGCAAGAGCUCAAGACUCUUCAUCUUUAUUUUAGUGAUCCAAGAUCAAAUUGAGUCCAUAGGAAAGCCAAUACUAUUAAAAGGGGACGAGAUAUUGCUUAAUGGCUUGCUUGCUCAAAUGCUUAGUGAUAUUGCUCCAAAACCCUCAACCACUUUCUCCAUCCAAAUAUGUCCAAAACCUAAACUCCUACUCGGCCCAUCGAUUCUUUCUAUCCGGAGCCACCAAGUUCAUAUGACAUAGCCACUGCCAGAAACCCUAGCAAUCCGGUCUCACCGAUAUGGAUCUCGGUCUCACCGAGAUGGCCUUGCUAGCGCUAUGUGACUUGUUGCAUUUAUUUCGGUCUUGCCGAGUCUAUGCAAUCGGUCUCACCGAGCUCGCUUGACAGACACUCUAUUGCUCGUUGCUUCACUUCGGUCUCACAGAGUUGAUGCAAUCGGCGCCACCGAGUUGAUGUUUGCCCUAAGCCCUAGCACAUCAGUCCCACCGAGUUGUUCCAGUCGGUCCCACCGAGAUUCCUAACGUUCACAUUUUGAACAAAUUGGUGCCAUCGAGUUUAACCAUUUGGUCUCACCGAGUUGAGUCAAAUGUGUUUAAUGGUUGGAUUUUGUGUGGAGGCUAUAUAUACCCCUCCACCCCUUCUCCAUUUGUGAGAGAAUCAUCAGAACGUGCCUACACUUUCACUACUCAUUUUAUGAGAGAGAACCACCUACUCAUGUGUUGAGAUCAAGACAUUCCAUUCCUACCACAAGAUUCUUGAUUUCUAGCCUUCCCCAAGUUGUUUUCCACUCAAAUCUUCUUUCCACCAUAUCCAAAUUUGUGAGAGAGAGUUGAGUGUUGGAGAGACUAUCAUUUGAAGCACAAGAGUAAGAGGUUCAUCAUCAUCAACACACCAUCUAUUACCUUUUGGAGAGUGGCGUCUCCUAGAUUGGUUAGGUGUCGCUUGGGAGCCUCUGUUAAGAUGUGUUGAGAUCGCCCCGCUGUGAGCCCCCUGCGCCAUGGCCGCACCCUCGAUCGAUCGAGCCCGCCCGCGCACACACACACACACACACACACACAUGUACAUGCGCGCGCGCACAUACACACACACACACAUACACACACACACACAUACACACACAUUUUUCUUACUUAUUUUCUGUUUUUUAGUUUUUUAUAUUUUUAGUUAUAGAAAUGUUAUAUGAAUUAGAAAUAUAUAUAAAUGUUAGAUUAAUGUCAAAGUUUUAGCUAGCUAGAUGAAUUAGAUUAAUGUCAAAUUGUUAAUUAGAUGAUCGAAUUAGAUAUAUUAAUAUCAAAUGUUAGAUGAAUUAGAUAGAAAUGUUAGAUUAAUGUCAAAUGUUAGAUGAAUUAGCUAGAUAAAAAUGUUAGAUGAAUUAGUUUCUUAUACUUUUAGUUAUAGAUUAAUUAGAUAUAUUAAUGUUAGAUGAAUAAGUUUUUUUAUACUUUUGUCAAAUGUUAGACGAAUUAGCUAGAUAUAUUAAUGUUAGAUGAAUUAGCUAGCUAGAUAUCAUAUGUCAAAGUUUAAAUUUUGACAUAUGCAACAUUUGAUUAUAUAUAUUAAUUGAUCAUAUGUCAAAGUUUGAAUUUUGACAUAUGCAACAUUUGAUCAUAUGUCAAAGUUUGAAUUUUGACAUAUGAUAUUAAGAAUGCCCCCAUAUGAUAUAUUCUUCUAUAUGUCACGUUGUCUGCCAAAGUAUUGAAAAAUCCAUGGCUUCAUCAUUAGCCGGAAGUAACAGGCAUAUGAUGCUACGAAGCUCUUCAAAGUUGUUUUGAAAAGGAGUUCUGGAUAGAAUAAUUCACUUUUUUGGUACGAAUUUCAGCAAAGGCUUUCCAAAUAGCGAUAUUCGGAAGGCUUUACUGAACUUUGUACCAAAAAGCGAAUUAUCCUAUCCGGGACUCUGUUCUAAAACAAUUUUGGAGAGCUUCGUACCAUUAUGCGGUUGUUACUUCCGGCUAAUGAUGAAGCCAUGGUUUUCUUGAAUCCUUUGACACUAGACAACGUGACAUAUAGAAGGGUAGAUGAGAUCAGGAAAAAUAUGGAUCAUUUUCUGCACAUCCAGAAUGGCGCCAUUUUGUUAAAUCCCUUAAAGGUUAAGAGAAUCCGUUAUGUUACAUUUGCAUAUAUAAUUUGUAUAUAAGAAAUCACAAUCCAAUCAUUUAAAAAUGUUACAUUUGCAUAUAGAAUUUGUUCUCGACGUCAACGAUGCCUGGCCCGCAUCCUCGUCGUCGACCCGUUCGCGACGACGCCCUGCUUCAGAGGAGCCAUGUCCGGGACUGGGCUCCGCCGGGCUGGCACUGGGAGGUGCUACCUUAAGGGGCGCGCUGCUUGGUGAGGAACCCGGCUCCGGGUCCCGUCGGCGACCCGGAGCUCCUUUGGUGGCGUUCGCGUGAGCCACUUUCGGUGCGGAGGGAGCCGGCCCCGCCGGAGGUGGUACGUCGCCGUUUCAGGGAGGAGGACGAGCACGUCCGUCGCUACAUGGCUGCUAUGGACGUCAGGUUCUCCAAUACCUGGCAGGUUCUUCGGGGAUCUCACCCGAGCUAUGAUCCUGUGAUGGUUCCUUCUCUUUGGGUGUCCACAGCCCGCGCCUCAGGAACCGUUAGUGAACUAGAUUAUUCGAUAGUAUACGAUCUAUAUUAGCUAGCUAGUGAUGUAUUCGAUAAUAUUCGAGACGAUGUACUCGAGAUUAUAUAUAUUAUUCGAUAAUAUUCGAGACGAUGUAUUCGAGAUUAUAUUCGAUGAUGCAUAUUAUGUACUAUGAUUCAAUUUUUCCUUAUUGAUUGCAUGCAUGCAUUGUAAUUUGAAUACUAAAAUGUUUUAUUUUUCUUCUGGAUUAGUUAAAUAAAAGCUAUGGACAAUACCGGCAGAGAAGGAGAGGAGGCCCUGUUCAACAUCAUAAGCUCAUCCCCUCGCCCAGAUGAGUUUGAAGAAGAUGACGGCUCGCAAUAUCUGAACCCUACUGGUGAGGGUAUGAUAUUUGAUGAAGACGAACGAAUAGAUGAAGUCCAGAACUAUGAUUAUGAUUAUGAAGAAAUGUUGAUCUUGAAAUAACAAAGACCGGCGAGGUAUAUUUAUAUAAGUGAUAACCCACAAGUAUAGGGGAUCGCAACAGUUUUCGAGGGUAGAGUAUUCAACCCAAAUUUAUUGAUUCGAUACAAGGGGAGCCAAAGAAUAUUCUCAAGUAUUAGCAGUUGAGUUGUCAAUUCAACCACACCUAGAUAACUUAGUAUCUGCAGCAAAGUAUUUAGUAGCAAAGUAGUAUGGAAGUAACGGUAACGGUGGCAAAAGUAACAACAGUAGUAUUGUAGCAAUUGUAACACUGGCAACGAUAAAGUAACUAAACGAGGAACAAUAUGUGAAAAGCUCGUAGGCAUUGGAUCGGUGAUGGAGAAUUAUGUCGGAUGCGAUUAUUCAUGCAACAGUUAUAACAUAGGGCGACACAGAACUAGCUCCAAUUCAUCAAUGUAAUGUAGGCAUGUAUUCCAAAUAUAGUCAUACGUGAUUAUGGAAAAGAACUUGCAUGACAUCUUUUGUCCUACCCUCCCGUGGCAGCGGGGUCCUAAUGGAAACUAAGGGAUAUUAAGGCCUCCUUUUAAUAGAGUACCGGACCAAAGCAUUAACACAUAGUGAAUACAUGAACUCCUCAAACUACGGUCAUCACCGGGAGUGGUCCCGAUUAUUGUCACUUCGGGGUUGCCGGAUCAUAACACAUAGUAGGUGACUAUAGACUUGCAAGAUAGGAUCAAGAACUCACAUAUAUUCAUGAAAACAUAAUAGGUUCAGAUCUGAAAUCAUGGCACUCGGGCCCUAGUGACAAGCAUUAAGCAUAGCAAAGUCAUAGCAACAUCAAUCUCAGAACAUAGUGGAUACUAGGGAUCAAACCCUAACAAAACUAACUCGAUUACAUGAUAAAUCUCAUCCAACCCAUCACCGUCCAGCAAGCCUACGAUGGAAUUACUCACGCACGGCGGUGAGCAUCAUGAAAUUGGUGAUGGAGGAUGGUUGAUGAUGACGAUGGCGACAGAUUCCCCUCUCCGGAGCCCCGAACGGACUCCAGAUCAGCCCUCCCGAGAGAGAUUAGGGCUUGGCGGCGGCUCUGUGUUGUAAAACGUGAUGAAUCCUUCUCUCUGGGUUUUUUCUCCCCGAACGUGAAUAUAUAGAGUCGGAGUUGAGGUCGGUGGAGCACCAGGGGGCCCAUGAGGCAGGGGGCGCGCCCCAGGGGGGUGGUCGCGCCCCCUACCCUCGUGGACAGGGUGUGGGCCCCCUGGCCUUGAUUCUUUCGCCAGUAUUUUUUAUAUAUUCCAAAAAUAUUCUUCGUUGAUUUUCAGGUCAUUCCGAGAACUUUUAUUUCUGCACAAAAAUAACACCAUGGCAAUUCUGCUGAAAACAGCGUCAGUCCGGGUUAGUUCCAUUCAAAUCAUGCAAGUUAGAGUCCAAAACAAGGGCAAAAUUGUUUGGAAAAGUAGAUACGUUGGAGACGUAUCAUUAAGCAGGCAUCUGGUGAUCAUCACAUGUUUUAAAUGAUUUGUAUAUAUAUUAACGAAUCGAUAUUUCUUCUUUCAGCCCACCGGAUGGAACAAAUCUUCUACAGGCAGCAGGACAGUGCGAGGCCCGGCCAAAAAGUUGAAGGAUGGCGUAAAGUACAACAUCGAUGCCAUCAAACCUAAUGGCGAACCAAGCGAACCUAAGAAGAAUGCGGGCAAGUUCAUUCGUCAGUGCGGAGUUCUUGUGAAGGACCAAAUCCCGAUCUCCAUUCAAGAAUGGAAAAAGGCAGCAAAGGAACGUCCGGAUCUCACUUUUGUCGACCAAAGAGCAAAAGAUCUGCUUUGGAAAUCUCUCAUGUCACAUUUCACCCUACCAGAUCAUUUCACAGAUGCAGAUGUGCAGAAAGUCAAGGAUGCUGCUCUUAGGAAGAUGGCAGUUGCAUUCAACAGCCACAAGAAAAGUAUAUGAGCCAAGUACGUCGAAGGAGGAAAGAAGACUCCAGAAUUUACGGGAACACUAGAGAAGCAAAGAGAUCACUGGCCCGCUUUCGUGAAAUUCAAGGAAUCGGAAUUAUCUAAGGAACGGUCGAGAGUAAACAAGCUCAAUGCCGCGAAAAAGGAGCAUUGCCAUAGGCUGGGGCCAGGUGGCUACGCGGUGGCCCGGCCUAAGUGGGAUAAGCCUAAGCAACAGAUGGUGGAUGCAAGGAUCAUUCCAGUUACAUUAAGCUGGCCCCCAGGUGCAGGACUUGGUUCUAUGCGCAUGGGGGGACGUUGGACCCAAAGACAGGCCAGGUUUUGGAGAAGGCAAGUCUUAAAGGAGCCGACCUCAAAAUACUUGUUGCAAUAGAAGAGGCUCGAACGGGGGUGUUCACGCCCAACAGAGAGAACGACGAGUUUACGCGCGCCCUGGGAAAUCCUGAACACCCGGGAAGAACACAAGGCAAAGGUGUUGUUCCGUGGUAUGAGGGGUUUGCGGACUGGAAUGCCGACUACAGAAGCCGUGCGAGAAAGAAGAUGAAGGAGGAGAAGAAGAGGAAGCUGGAGGAGGAGCAGAGGAAGUAGGAAGCAGAACGCCUUAAAGGCCUAGAAUCAGCACACACGGAGUUGUCACUCCAAUUCCAGCAGCAGCAGUAGCAGAUCGACUCACUUAGCAAAGAAAGGGGGUCUCAGCAGCGGCAACAGCUAGCGGAUCCAGCAUUGUAUAGCACCGUCCCAUCCACGCCGAGAAGCAGCGUGGGUUUCGCCCCAGGUGAGGCACUGCUAGAUAGAUACCCUGUGGACGACAUCAUGGAUAACACUAAUUGUGAGCUACACUUCAAAAUGAAGAACAUAUCCAUGAAGGUGGCGGAUGCCGUUGCUUAUACAAAUCCCCCCUGAAGCAACCUUCCAUUGCAACCCGAUUCCAGCUAGCUAUGCUCGUGUCAUGGUUGAUGAAGUGGUGGCACGAUAUUCAGGGCUAGAGCUUGACAUUCCUUGAGGUGACGACAAGCACACACUGGGAGAGGCCAUACAUCGUAUCAUUCUAUGGAUAAAGGAUUGCAUCAUCUUUCCAAGGCCUCCGACACCGCGUCAGCCGACUCCUCCUCCAAGUCCGCCACCGCAUCAGGAGACUGUCGCUCCUCCUAGUCAUCAACCAUCGCCUCAGCAGAGUCCUGCUCCUUCAAGUCCCCCAACGCGUCAGGCCACUCCUCCUCCUCCAAGUCCGGCACCGCGUCAGCCCACUCCUCCUCCUCCAAGUCCGGCAACACGUCAGCCCACUCCUCCUCCUCCAAGUCAGGCACCGUGUCAGCCGUCUCCGCCGCCUCAGCGGGCUACGCCACCUAAGCAACAAUGGAAGAGAGUCGCCGCAGCUAUGGUGGCUAGCAGUACAAGUACAGGUACAGGAGGCAAGAGAUUCCAAUUUGGUCCAAGCCUAACGCCUCUUCCGAAGAGGCCUUACGACAUGACCAACGAGGAAAACGAAGCCGAAUGCAGGGCCCAAUUGGACGCCCAUUUUGGACCGAAACCACCACCGCCGCCAAAGGAGAAAGUGCCUGAGCAUGUCGUUGACCACUUUAUUCGUAUGGCUAAAGCACCAGCUCCCAAGCCUAUUGACUCAGACUAUGAGCGCCAAAUCAGGAAGGCAUAUAAAGCACAACAAAAGAAGGAGUCGAGCUCGAGCUCCAGCCAAGCAGCUGCCAAAAAAGCGGGAAAACUGUUCCCCAGCUGGGAGAANNNNNNNNNNNNNNNNNNNNNNNNNNNNNNNNNNNNNNNNNNNNNNNNNNNNNNNNNNNNNNNNNNNNNNNNNNNNNNNNNNNNNNNNNNNNNNNNNNNNNNNNNNNNNNNNNNNNNNNNNNNNNNNNNNNNNNNNNNNNNNNNNNNNNNNNNNNNNNNNNNNNNNNNNNNNNNNNNNNNNNNNNNNNNNNNNNNNNNNNNNNNNNNNNNNNNNNNNNNNCUCAUUGUACCAACACAUGCGAGUACCGGCGCCGAUCGGUUGGUAAUAACCGACGAUCAUAGAAGGCAGGAUGCAGAGAUCGGUAUCACUGUUUAUCAACUCCUAGAGAUCGAGCCCAUGGAUACGAAUAGAGAGGAGGACAUAAAACAGAAAUAUGCCCGCGGCGAACCUAUGGUCAAGCCUGAGGAGGUCAAGAAGCUCCAACGAGAAUGUAUGAAUUGAUUCAAUGGUACAUGAAAAUUGCCAAAACUACCAAUCGAGAGUCCCUCAUGGUGAAAGUCAAGCCAGAGUAUUACUACCAUGGGAAUGAUCUGUAUGUUGAGUUUACAGAACUAGUUCAGUUAUUCAAUCAAGACGCACUCGACAAAUCUAUCGUCAGUUGCUAUUGUCUGUAAGUGAUUUCUUUCUGUAAUUUAAGUCUCAAGCUGCUAGCGGUAGUGCUCGUUGAUCAUUACCUGUAAUUAUCCUCACUAUAUUCUUUUCUAUGGUAUUAUGCAGGAUGAAGAUGUAUGAAAUGAAAAAAGCUGGACGCUAUGGCAUUGGGUUCAUUGACCCAAAUACCAUUAAUCAAGAGACAUGGACGCAUCCAUGGGAACAAAAAGACACAGAGAAAAGCUUGCUAGAGUUCUUGAAGCUCCUAAAUACCAAUCGAGAUAUAAUACUUCCUUACAACUUCGGGUGAGUCUCACACUGUCUUGUAGUACAAAUUCUGUUUUUGCUUACGAGCUAGAUGUUAAUAAGUGUAUAGGGUUUAGGAUAGUUAAUGAGUGUUAGUCACAUGUCCGCUUAAUUUAUACAUGCAAACGUGUGCGCAUGCAGUUUCCACUGGAUCUUGUUAAAUAUUCAAGUUGAAGAUGAAAAAGUUGAAGUACUGGACUCACUACUUAAACCAGUUACUGAGUACGAAAUCAUGAAGGGGAUAGUCAACAGGUAAUUUCAAUCAUUAUCAAACUAUAUAUGUUGGCCUAUUUAGUUCGUCAUUUCCUGAUAUCAACUAAUUAAUAACUCAUUUAUUCAUUUUCUUUGCCGGCGGGCAGGGCUUCGGAAAAGUUCAUCAAACAGAUUCCAGGCCAAUGAAAACAACAGCUAAAAUAAUGUCGACCGAAGGUAAUUAAUUAAGUAGUACUAGCUAGCUACCAUCUCUUUAAUUCUAGUUUCAAUACCAUUAAUUAUCAUGCUUGAUUAAUUAUUAUCUGAUUGAAUUCUAUUCUCGUAAAGGCCCUGAAGCAGGCUCCGGGGACUGAUUUAUGUGCAUACUACGUUUGCGAGAACAUUUGCAUGAUGACGUCCGAAAGGAGUAUAUCUGAUAGACAGCUAUGGGUACGUUUGCCAGAACACUAUUCACAAUUUUUACAUCAUUAUUGAUAUCUAAUAUAUAUACACACAACUAAUACAUGCAUAUUUGAUCUCCUUCUUUAAAGUUCAACGAGAUGCGGGAUAAACUCCUACCAACGGAUCGCGUACGAGCAAUUCAAGAGGAAAUAGCGGGGUUUUUGCUCGACCAGAUCAUAGAUCCCAAAGGAGAAUUUCAUUACCCGCUACUGCAGUAAUGCCUCCAUGUUGGAGAAAUUGUAUAUACCAAAUUUCAUAUGGUCGGUUCUACGAGAAAUUCUAUAUAUGCAUAACGUGUACAAUAUGUAGUAUCGUAAAAUAGCAGCAAAUGAAAAAUAAUUAAAUGGAAAACACAAAAUUAAAAAAAUAAAUCAUAAACCCAAAAAACCCUAAACCUUUUAGUACCGGUUGGUGUUACCAACCGGUACUAAAGGUCUCCCAUCCCUCGGCGCGGGCUCGUGCCACGUGGUGGACCUUUAGUGACGGACUGACGGUUCGUGUUGAACCGGAACUAAAGGGGGGCCCUUUAGUCCUCACCCUUUAGUGCCGGUUACAGAACUAGCACUAAAGGUCCUUUCGAACCGGGAUUAAAUCUCAGUUUUCUACUAGCACUAGUAGAAAACAGGGCUUUGGUUCGGGCAGGGCAAGCCCAUUAGUCCCGGUUCAGUCAUGAACUGGGACCCAUGGGGGCAUUCGUCCCGGUUCGUUAGCCCGGGGGGGGGGGGGCGGCCGGGGCCUUGUGGGCAUUGGUCCCGGUUCGUGGGGAUCCAUUUGUCCCGGUUCUAGGCACGAACCGGGACCAAUGUGCCUUGCUCCUGGCCCACAACCAUUGGUCCUGGUUCUUGGCUUGAACCGGGACAGAUGGCUGGGCUUUAGUCCCGGUUUCAGCCACGAACCGGGACAAAUGAGCUUCCUAUAUAUACCCCAUCGCCACAGCAGAGCACUCCACAGUGCUCUGUUUUUUCUGGCCGGCGAGGGGAGGGCAUUUGGGUGCUCUAGCUCACCUCCUAUGCAAAUGAGGUGUUCGAUGAAAUGUCUGAGCCACACUAGUUAAUCUUUCUCCUCUCGAAACUCGACCUCCGAGCUCCAUUUUCCCCGAGAUUUGUCCAGGUUUAGCGGUCUGUCACGUCCCGUCCCCGUCUUCACCGCCGUCGAUCGCCCACGCCGAUCUCGUCGCCGACACCACCGUGGUGAGCCUCUUGUUCUUAUCUUCUUUCUGAAAGAAAAAAAUUCUUACUUCAGAUAGAUACUUGUCUAAUUUUCUUACUUUUAUUAUUCCUUGUUAUUAUAUAGUGCGAUGUUUUUGGUAUCCGCCCCCGUCGUCCCUCGUCCUGUCUAUGAUUCGGAUGUGGUAUAUAUUAUCUUUUUAUAACUAUUUGGUUCAUUUAUUGUUUAUGACAAUUAUGCCGACCAACGUGACAUAUAUUUUAUUUAUCUAGGAGGUGGUUGAACUGGAAAUUCCAACCGACCCUAUUGUCGAGAGGUUAAAUUUAGUUGAAGAAGAAAACAAUUACUUGAAGGAAAAAAUAAAAAAAUGAGGAGGAGAAGAUGAUAUUGGAGUUGCAUGUUGCGAAUGUCGUCGAUGAUCACAAGAUCAAGAUGGAUGCAAUGCUGUUGAAGAUUAGAAAGAUUAGAAAAUAUGCCAUUCAUACCGAGGCUUGGUAUCAUUAUGCAGUUCGAUCAAUUGUUACCUUGGUUGCGAUUAUGAUCGCAUUUCUUGUUGCAUUGAAAUGUUUUACAUAAUUUCAAUGUAUGGUUUAAUUAGAUGCUCCGGAGAGCUAUAUAUGUUGUUCAAUUUGAUGUGGCUUUGAAUGGUGCAUUUUGAACACACAAAAAGUCAGGAGUUCAAAUAAGUUUUAAAAAAUGAAAUCCCUUUGUAACAGACGAGUUCCGUAUGAAAUCCUGAUACUUCGAAAGAGAUUGUCCGUUUUGUACACGAAGUGCAUCCAGUUUUUGCCGUAACCCUCUCAACUUUCUUGCACAUGCUAUGUGGAUGAAAUGAUGAUAUCAUGCCAACUUUCAACCUUUUCAGAGUUCAUUUAAAAUGCUUUUCAAUUUCAGAGACUUAUAGCUCAAAAUAAUCAGUAAAUGCAUGAAAAAUGGUGCAUGAAAAAUAAAAAAUAAAAUAAAUAAGUAAUUAGAAACAAAAUAAUAUAAACUUUAAUAAAAUAUAUAAGUAGAAACAAAAUAAAAUAAACUUUAAUAACAUUAAUAAAAUUUAUGAAACUAAAAUUAUCAAAGUAUUUUCUGUUCAAAACAUUAUAAGCAACCUCUAGUAUUAUUGAAACUAAAAUUUUAUAAAAUUGAUGCAACUAAAAUUAUCGAAGUAUUUUCUAUUCAAAAUCAUUAAAAGCAAAAAGAAUUUUCAUAAAGAACUUUUUUGUUAGAAACUUUAAUAGUAAAAAAUUUAUCAUAAAGUAAAAUAAAACAUAAUUAGAAACAAAACGAAAGAAAAUAAAUAAGUUUUUUGUUGUAAGUAGAAACAAAACAAAAUUAAUAAAGCAAAAAAGAAAACAAAAAAACAGGCACAAAUAUAAAAUAUGCCACCUACUAGGCCACCACGGCCUGAAUACAACUAGAAACCCAUCGAUGGGCCAGGAUUCAGGCCCGCAGAAGGCCCAAUAGGCCCAUCAGGCAUAGAAGUGACAAUUAGGCCCGUAAGCCUGCAAUGAGAGGAGCUCGAGAGGGGUGCGGCAGUGGGGCUUAUAAACCACUGCGCGCCCCUCUCAACUAGCGAGGUGGGACUAAACUUUCGACGCGGGCAUAGCAGCACAGGGCCUUUGGUCCCGGUUUGUGGCACCAACCGAGACUAAAGGGGUGCAUUGGUACCGGUUCGUAGCACCAACCGGUACCAAUGCCCCCCCCCUUAGUCCCGGUUCAUGCCACCGACCGGGACCAAAGGCCGCCGCUUCCCGCCCUUUAGGCUGCCGAAAACUGACCUUUGGUCUCGGUUGGUGGCACCAACCGGGACUAAAGGGGGCAUUGGUCCCGGUUGGUGGGACGAACCGGGACCAAUGCUCUUGGUAUAUAAGUAGCACUUUGCAAUUUUGCAGAGUUCAUCCCCACAGUUGCCCCCGAUGACGCCGAGCACAUCGACGCCGCCAGGCUGCCCCGACGCUGCCCGCCGCCNNNNNNNNNNNNNNNNNNNNNNNNNNNNNNNNNNNNNNNNNNNNNNNNNNNNNNNNNNNNNNNNNNNNNNNNNNNNNNNNNNNNNNNNNNNNNNNNNNNNNNNNNNNNNNNNNNNNNNNNNNNNNNNNNNNNNNNNNNNNNNNNNNNNNNNNNNNNNNNNNNNNNNNNNNNNNNNNNNNNNNNNNNNNNNNNNNNNNNNNNNNNNNNNNNNNNNNNNNNNNNNNNNNNNNNNNNNNNNNNNNNNNNNNNNNNNNNNNNNNNNNNNNNNNNNNNNNNNNNNNNNNNNNNNNNNNNNNNNNNNNNNNNNNNNNNNNNNNNNNNNNNNNNNNNNNNNNNNNNNNNNNNNNNNNNNNNNNNNNNNNNNNNNNNNNNNNNNNNNNNNNNNNNNNNNNNNNNNNNNNNNNNNNNNNNNNNNNNNNNNNNNNNNNNNNNNNNNNNNNNNNNNNNNNNNNNNNNNNNNNNNNNNNNNNNNNNNNNNNNNNNNNNNNNNNNNNNNNNNNNNNNNNNNNNNNNNNNNNNNNNNNNNNNNNNNNNNNNNNNNNNNNNNNNNNNNNNNNNNNNNNNNNNNNNNNNNNNNNNNNNNNNNNNNNNNNNNNNNNNNNNNNNNNNNNNNNNNNNNNNNNNNNNNNNNNNNNNNNNNNNNNNNNNNNNNNNNNNNNNNNNNNNNNNNNNNNNNNNNNNNNNNNNNNNNNNNNNNNNNNNNNNNNNNNNNNNNNNNNNNNNNNNNNNNNNAGGAGAAGAAGAGAAAAUAGAAAAAAAAUUCUAUUUUCUCUUCUUCUCCUCUUUUUGUUUCUUCUUUUUUUCUUCGAUCUUCUCCUCUAUUACUUUCUUCUUCUCCUCUUUUUAUUUCUUCUUCGUCUUCUUAUUUUUUUAUCGGGUAUGUCGUUGUCGAUAUACCCCCUCCCGAUAACUUCAACACGAGGGGGGGGGGGGUCGAUAUACCCCCUCCCCGAUAAUAUUAUUUUCCCAUGUAUGUAUGUCGUCGUAUGUCGUCGUUGUCGAUAUAACCCCCUCUCGACCGUGAUAACUUAUACCACGGGAGCACCCCCCAGCCCUCUCGCUCGACCAAAACUCUCGAGGAUGUCCGUCUCCUACCCCCUCCCGCCGCGCCCCUACCCGACAAACUCUCUCGAGGCCACCCAAAUUUACCAAGUGAAAAGAGCGUUGUCGUUGAGGCCACCCCAAACCCUUGAAGCGUUGUCGAGGCCACCCCAAACCCUUGAAGCGUUGUCGAGGCCACCCCAAACCCUUGAAGCGUUGCCGAGGCCACCCCAAACCCUAGAGAAGCAGCGUCGAGGCAACUAAUAUGAUUCCUUAUUGUGAUUAGCUAGCUAGUUCUACGUUUGCCACUAAUAUAUCCGUCUGUCAUGUUUGAAUAAUAAUUGCCAUGUUGUAAAUAUUUGCAGAAACUAUGGAGCACCCCCGAGACGAAGCAACAGAAGAGGUGUUGGGGGACAUAAUUGCACAAGGAAGUUAUGCCGUCUUGUCGUUUCUCAACAACACCGAUGGUCUGGAAGGACAGGGUGAAGAAGCAGGCUACGGUGAUCGAACAAUUGAGGAGGAAGGACAUGAUUAUGAUGGCUCCGGUGACCCAAUGCCGGUGCAAGGAGACCGUGAUGACGGCUCCGGUGACCGAACCGAGUCCGGCCAGGUAUAUAUAUUAGUUAAGCAUGUGCUGACUAGCUAAUUGAUGCAUUCAUUGUUUUGGUAUGUACACAUAUUAAUUAACUCUCGUCUUUCUUCUUUUUUCUAGCCCUCCGGAUCGAGCACAACUUCGGUAAAGAGACGAGGCCCGAAGAAAAAGUUGCGCUCGGAUGAAAGGUUUGAGAUCACAGCAAUCGCGCGCGAUGGCAUGCCGAUUGAACCCAUCCGGACGAAGGAUGCAUUUGCUGCUCAGUGCGGGGUUCUUGUUAGGGACAAGAUCCCGAUAAGCAUCCACAAAUGGUGUAAGCCUAAGAAGGAAGACCCAGAGGUGUCUUAUGUCGAUGAUAUGCAGAAAGAUGAUCUUUGGACCGCGCUGAAGGCAAAUUUCACCCUACCGCCAGAGGAGGAUCCGGAGAAGCCAGUUAAAGAGCAAUUGAUCAAGUCUCAUGCUCUUAAGAAGAUGGCAGAACUAUUCAGGAGGUGGAAGAAUGAGCUGAAAACAUCGUUUGUCGACAAAGAAAAGACACCAGAAUUCACCGGCCGGUAUGAGAAGAUCAGAGAUCGCUAGCCUGCAUUUGUGGCCCACAAGACAUCGGACAAGAAUAAGAAGAUGUCAGCGACAAACAAGAAAAAUGCUGCGAAGAAGAAGCUUCACCAUCGCACGGGGUCAGGUGGCUACCUCAAAGCCCGACCGUUGUGGGCAAAGGCUGAGAGGGGCCUGCUUGAUAAAGGGGUCCAACCAGAGACAUUGAACUGGCCAGACCGUUGCCGGACUUGGUUCUUCGGGGCUGGCGGAACCUUGGACCCUAUAUCAGGGAAGUGCGUUUGGACGAACGAGCAACUGCAAAUACCUGUCACAAAGCUUCAGCACUAUAUCGAUGUUGCGCAGCAAGGGACGUUCGUUCCAGACAGAGUGAACGACGAGCUCACAAUGGCCCUCGGGAAUCCUGAGCACCCUGGACGGACACGAGGCACGCCAGGCUCCGUUCCGUGGAAGGCUGGGUUUCCGGACGCAGGCGGUUACAAAUGCCAUGAGAGGAGGAAGAAAGUGCAGCAGACCCAACUGGAGGCGCUGCACGCAAGGGUACAAGCGAUAGAGGAACGAGAAGCAGUUCGCAGCAAGCGACCUGCCGAAGCUACCCCCGAAGCUACCCCACCAUCUCAGCGGAGAAGCAGUGUGGCUUCCACCGAGCUGCUUCAGCAAGAGCCUGUCUUCACGGCUCCUGCUAGCUACCCCAUGGAUGCUAUCACGGAGUCUCAACAUUGGCACCUUAUGACGCAAUGGCAGAACUUCAAAGUCAAGGCGGCUGUCGGCUCUGUUCAACCUCCUAAACCCGACGCAACUUUUCGCUGCCGUCCAAUUCCAGAAGGAUAUGCUAGGGUGACAGUGGACGAAAUAACGGAGAGAUUUGAGGACCUCGAGCUUGACCACCCUACCGGUGAAGGGGAGACUCGGCUGGGUUCUUCUCUGAAGACUCUAUGCCUAUGGCGGAAGGAGCUCAUCAACCUUCCGAACUGGACGCCUCCGCCUCCUCCUCCUCCUCCUCCGGCGAGUCCAGGCACUCCGCCUCCUCCUCCGCCUCCUCCUCCGGUGAGUGAUCAGCCUCCUUCUCCGGCGCGUGGCGGCACUCCGCCUCCUUCUCCGCCUGCGCCGGCGCGCCCGAGCAGCCAGCCUCCUCCUUCUCCGCCUCGUCAGCAAGGGCGGAAGAGACCCGCCGCCGCUCCGACUGCUCCGGCGCGUCGUAGUCCUUCUCCUCCGCCUCGUAAGCAAGGAAAGAAGACAGCCGCAGCCGCUCCGUCUGCUCCGGCGUCUAGCAGUACAGGCAGAGGCGGGAGGCAACAAUACAGAUUCGGUCCAUCUCUCAAGGCUGUAGAGAAGUUACCAUAUGAGAGGACCGUGGAGGAAAACGUGCCGAUCGUUGAAGCCUAUGUGAAGGACUUCUUUGAAACGCAAAGAGCUAAGAAACAUCCACCUCCGUUGGAGAAGAUAGAUCCGGUGAAAGCGAAGCGCACUAUAGAUGCCCUAAAGAAACAACCGAAGUCUCCGCCGAAAGGCAACUAUGAGCGCAUUAUUGAAAGAUCAUAUAUCGAAGCGGAGCGGUCGGGAAGUAUUGUCAGUGAUCAAAGGUUAGCAGAACGACGAGCUGGGAAAAAAAUUGCCCAGCUCGGCGAACAAGAGAACCAAUCGUGCACCCCGCUCAAGGUGUCUACCGAUAUCGUCACUAAUCAUCCGGAGAUUUUGCCUGGUACCAAUCGUGGAGAUUACCUGCCCGACGAUGUACAUUAUGAUUUCUUGGAGGUGGAGGAUUUCAGAUACCAUUAUGGGAAGCCUCUCGUCAAAGAUGGAACUAUUCUAACAACGAUGAUGCGAAGAUUGCAUGAUUGGUACAUGAAAACCUGCAGAGAGUCUGGGGAAAGGAUACUUUGACGCUGAGAGUUAAAGAGGAGCACGACCUCGUUGGAAUUGAACUGUUGAGUCUUCCAUUUGAGGAGAUCUUCCAGUUAUUCAAUCAAAAGGCACUCGAUAAAUUAACGAUCACUUGCUACUGUCUGUAAGUACUAUACUUCUGUCAUUAAGUCUCUAUAUAUAGCUCAGCUCUUUCAUUGCAUGUAUAUAUAAUUAUCCUCACUAUAUUAUGCAGAUUGAAGAUCGUCGAAUGCAAGAAAAGACAAGUCGGUGAUAUUGGGUUCAUCAACACAAAUCUCAUAGAUGAAUUUAUGGUUAAAUAUAAUGCCAAAGAAACCGAGGCCAACUUGCUACGAUCGUUGGUAAAAGAUCAAAACAAAGCUAUAAUACUCUUUCCUUACAACUUCAAGUGAGUGUUACUGUCUUGUGCAUAUUCGGUUUCCCUUAUUACUCGAGGUUAAGUAUAGUAAUGUAAUUGAUGAGUUAUGCAUAUGCGUGCGCAGCUUCCACUAUAUUCUCCUAGAGAUUAAGCUUGAGCGGGGACUAGUAACUGUCUUAGACUCGACACGAAAAAACCCCGAGGAAUAUGCGGACAUGACUAACAUGCUCCAAAAGUAAGUUCAAUCGAUCAUUAUCGCACCAUGCAUAUCGGCAACUUUGUUCAUUUCCUGAUAUCAAGUAAUUGUUUUCUUUGUCUGGCAGGAUUUGGAAAAAGUUCACCGCACAAACUCCGGGACUGCCGGGGGAGCUGCGAUUUAUCCACCCGAAAUUAAGUACUAUUAGCUAGUUCCGUGCAUCUCCAGUGAUUCUAGUGCUAAUUUCAUCAAUACCAUUUAGCAUGCUUGCUUAUCAGUUUGAUUGACUUCUGUUUCUUGUAAAGUGGUUGUGGCAGGAACCCGGGACUAAUUACUGUGGAUACUACGUUUGCGAGUCCAUCCGCCACACGACCUGUGAGCGGGGCUACUCUAAAAACAAUAUGAAGUGCGUAAGCAAUAAUAUUCACAAUUUUCUUUUAUUACCAUCAUUUGUGUUGAGUUUCAUUCAUAUAUAUGUAUAUUGACCCCCUUCUUGAAAUUAGAUGUGGCAGAUGCGGGAUGAACUCCUACCACAAGAUCGCAUGAAAGCAAUUCAAGAGGAAUUGGCGGGGUUCUUUCUUGACCAUGUCAUCGAUAAAGCCGGAGAAUACUAUGUGGAAUAUGAGUUCAGAGGUUAAUUAGGGGAUUGUAAUAGAUCUUAUAUUGUAUAUAUGUAGCCACUAGUAGCAUCGGAUAGAUAUACGAAAACUUGUUGUUCGACCAAUCUCUCGGAGAAGGAGAGGUAUAUCACUUAUCUCUGUAUGCAUAUGUUCAUGACGAUCUUCUGUACUUAAUGGUUUACUUCAUUUGCUUACUAGCUAGCAUGUCGAGUCCUCUCUAUAUGUAUAGUACGUAGCGUCGACCAAGCACGGAGAUAAGAGAGGACACUUCUCUCUAUUAGCUAGCUAACACACCCUAAAUUACCCCCUAAACCACCCCCUUUCAGAAAAAAAAACCUCAGCUGCUGCUAGCAGCUGACGCGUGGAUGCCUAUUGGUCCCGGUUGGUGCCACCAACCGGGACCAAAGGCCCCCCUGCCUGGGCUCGCCGCACCGGCCACAUGGAGGCCCAUCUGUCCCGGUUCCUGUAAGAACCGGAACUAAAGGCCUAGGGCUUUAGUAACGACUCUUUAGUCUCGGUUCAAAAACCGGGACAAAUGAGCCUUACGAACUGGGACAAUAGGCCCUUUUACUACUAGUGUAGUGUUGGUUAGGUGUCGCUUGGGAGACUCCGACAAGAUUGUGGAGUUGAACCAAGAAGUUUGUAAGGGCAAGGAGAUCGCCUACUUCGUGAAGACAUACCCGAGUGAGGCAAGUCCUUCGUGGCGAUGGCCAUGGUGGGAUAGACAAGGUUGUUUUUUCGUGGACCCUUCUUUGGUAGAGCCCUCCGUGGACUCGCGCAACUGUUACCCUUCGUGGGUUGAAGUCUCCAUCAACGUGGAUGUACGAUAGCACCACCUAUCGAAACCACGCCAAAAAAGUGUGUCAUCAUUGCGUUUGCACUCUCCAAACCCUUUGCUUUACCUUCAUAUGCAAUGUUUUAUUUUCCGCUGCUAAACUCUUAAAAUUGCAUGUGUAGCUUGAUUGCUUGACUUGUGCUAAUUGCUAAAUUCUGCCCACAACUAAAAUUGAAAAAAAAAAGUUAAUUUUUUUUAUUUGAUCAAGUAGUCUAAUCAUCCCCUCUAAACCUACUUUUGUUCCUACGCAGGUCUACAUCAGGUUGCAUCGCGAGAGCCACUAGAUGCCUCUGUUGCAUCGCUCGAGUCUGACUGGUUAGAAAUAAUUGAUUUGAAUGUUUCUAUCGGGAUUGGCUGAGCAAUGCUUUAAACUUCAUGCAGACCAAUAACUAGAUGCAGGCCAAGCAAUCAAAAGAAGGAUUUUUGCACUGCACGGGUCUGAUUGGGCUAGAGCCUAUCAAACAUAUCCUACGUAUCCACCAGAUGUGUCAACCAUGGUUGCACAUCCACACAUUGGUUUUUCUCACACACAAAAAAGGAAAAAACCACAAUGGUGUGCAACCCCAGUUGCACUUCUUCCGGCUGUGCGCAACUGCUCCUCCACCGUCCGCCCGUAAAUGUAGUUACGUGUCUGGCAACCAUGCAAAACUACUUUUACCUGGCAUUUUAACCUCGAUUGAAAAGUUGACAAAAAGUAUUCAGGUGUUAGAAAAUGUAAAUCAAGGAAAAAAAGGUUUAAGAAAAUAACAUAUAAAUGAGAAAGGAACGUGUUCGGCAUCCCUCUGCUCCUGGAGCGGCCGGAGCGGAGCGGAGCAGCCCGUGGCGCAUUUUCCUAGAGUUGUAAAACUGGCGCUCCAUCCGUUCCCGUAUUAUACAGAGCUGGAGAGCUGCCGAACAGGGCCUUAGCCACAACCAUAUACUCCCUCUCUAAACAAAUAUAAGAAGGUUUAGGUUUGAAUCACUACUUUACAGAGGGAGUACUACUAAUAGAGCCAUAUGAAACCCACGAGUUACAAUAUUGUAGCACUUCCCUUAGCUUCCGUCUCCUCUUUUCCUGCCCACGCUAGCUGCACCAUGAACGAUGAGAUGGUUGACGUUACGAGUUCGAGCGCCGAAGGCGAUCUGCAGCAGUGGGCGACUGGGUGGGGUAUUGGGCGCGAGGCGGCCAAGCUUAACCAUGUCCGGCGACACCUCAAUUCGGUGCUCACCGAGGCGGAGGGGAAGGAGAUCCAUAACGCGCAGCUGGCGCGAUCUCUCAAGGAAGCCCGUCAUAUGGCUUCGCACGGCGAGGACCUCUGGAGCGGGCUGGACUACUACCGCAUCCAGGAACACCACCACGACGGCGCGGUGAGUGCCUUCUUCAAUCUACUAUCACUGUUUAUAGGUAACUGAUGGAGCAAGAGAUUCACGUGAUGGAAAAACCAUGCAUACAGGAGUAUAGAUUUUUCAAUCGAUCGGUGUAGAUCCAGCUGUUGAUUUUGCCCGAUCGAUCUUGAUUUGUUUCCUGUGGUCUGCACCCGGCAGGAAGGUCGUCGGGUGGAUGGAUGGCAUGGGGGAGAAGAGCCUCAAGAUCUCUUGGCUGAGGAAGGUGGGGAAUCGGGGACCGCAGUUGUCCACGACAUGCAACAGGUGAGAGUGUCCUUGUGUCCUGUCCAUCGCUGCUUUGUCGGCAAACCUGCCCCAGCCUAUUAUCUCCACUGGGUAUUUUAGUUCCUUCAUUAACAUAAUACUAAUAAUAUAAUAAAAAAAAUCCAAAGCAUGCUUUGCAUGUAUCAUGGUCUCUCUCUUUUUUUUUGCGGAUGCCCGUAUCAUGGUCUCUCUCUCUUUUUUUUGCGGAUGCCCGUAUCAUGCUCAUCUCCCCAUAUUGCAAGUACAACAGCUUUUCCCCUAAAAAAAGUACAACAACUUUUGGAGUAAAUUUUCUCCCAUGAGGUUCAUGCAAGAUCCAAGUUAAGGGCCUCUUUGCUUCGCAGGAUUUUAAACCGUGGGAUAGAAAAAAGAUAGGAUUGGAAUGUCAUGCUCAUUUUAAUCCUACAUGAUUUCGGGUUAUUUGAUUGCAUCAUAGAAAAACAAAAGGAGUAUUUCAAAAAGGUUUGAGUGGAUACUAGAAAUCCUAUAGGAAGUAGUUAAAAAAUUCCUUAGGAAAAAAACACUAUGGAACUCAAUCUUAUGAAUUAAACAACCAACUAGAAAAAAAUUCUAAGGACUCUAAUCCUCCAAAAUCACUAUAAAAAUCCUUUGAAUCAAAGGAGCCCCAAGGAAAAUUUGGACAGUAAUUCGGGCUGAAUUAUGGGGAGGUCAGCAUCAUCUAGGUCAUAAAUCGUGGGGUCAGCUCAGCUGCCAUGUAAUCAUAGGCCAUUGUAUUUAAUUAAAGGAGGUGAGAGGGGAAGUUGUAUGUUAGACUAGCUACAAUGGAGAGUAACAUACACUAGUAACAUACACAUAUCCCUAGACUAUAUUACUACUUUCAUAGUGGGUAGUAACAUAAGACUACCCAUAGUGAGAGUAACAUAGGUAGUAACAUCACACAUAUCUAGAUAAAGUAGAUGAUGUGGCAAGCAAUAAAUGAAGAAAGAGAGGGAAGUGGUAACAUAGCUAGUUACUAGUAGUAUGAGUAACAUCAUACAUAUCAAGGCAAGAUGUGUCUAUAGCCUAAUAAAUAAAGUGUUACAUGUUACCAUACAUAUGUUACUCCCCACUAUAGAGGUAGUAACAUAGACUAGUAACAUGCACCAUGUUACUAGUCUAUCUUACUACCCAUUGUGGCUAGUCUAAGUGUGGUGCCAUGCAAAACUUCGUUUAUUAGGUUAUAGACUCAUAUUGCAUUGGGACAUGUAAUGUUACGGUAACUAGCUAAGUUACUCAAACUACCUCUCUCCUCAUUAACUCAUUGCCACGUAAGCAAAUUUGUUGAGUUGGACUCGAUGUUACCGUUGAAGUUAAUCCCACUUCUAAGCUCGCUUUUCUAUGACGUGUAAUCAAUACCCUGAUCCUCUGUAGCUUAUUUUCCUAGUGUUCCUCUCCUUCCCAUCUCGGUACAAUUAGGUCACAAUGUUACAAACAUGAUCGGAUGAUCCCUAAGAGCAACUAGUAGACUCGCCAUAUGGCCCCAAUUACCAUAAUAACCAUUCAAUAUGGCGAUUUUGGGACAAAAACACACUCUAGCAGAGUCACCAUACGGGCCUCGGUCGCCAUAGUUUAUGGAGGGCCGUCCAUAUCCAGCCGCAAGACUCCAUAUUUGAAGGCUGGGGGCAUUGGUUUGAAGCAUGCUCCAUCCACCAAUGGCUCGCACGGGAAGGCNNNNNNNNNNNNNNNNNNNNNNNNNNNNNNNNNNNNNNNNNNNNNNNNNNNNNNNNNNNNNNNNNNNNNNNNNNNNNNNNNNNNNNNNNNNNNNNNNNNNNNNNNNNNNNNNNNNNNNNNNNNNNNNNNNNNNNNNNNNNNNNNNNNNNNNNNNNNNNNNNNNNNNNNNNNNNNNNNNNNNNNNNNNNNNNNNNNNNNNNNNNNNNNNNNNNNNNNNNNNNNNNNNNNNNNNNNNNNNNNNNNNNNNNNNNNNNNNNNNNNNNNCCAUCUAGCAACCCACACCCUCUACUUUCCUUCUAGUUGCCCUCAGCCUGCACAAUCACCGCCGCCGAACUGGGUGAUGUUCUUGGAGUGAAUUCGAUGUCGAUUUUUGAAUACGUGAGAAGCAUGGAAUCCAUAGAGAUUUCAUGCUUCUCACAUAUUUAAUCAUCGUCGUCAGAAUCAAAUCGCCGCCAUCAAAAUUGAGUCACCCUCGCCGCGCGAAUAUCGAUGAUGUUGUAUGAAACUAUGAUAAGCAUUAGGUGGGACAUCCGCGUGGAUGUCUAUUAUAAUGCUUAUUAUGAUUUCGAGCAUCGCCGUCGAAUAGAGUCGCCGUUGCCGUAAUCGGCACCCGAAGCUGAAAUCGCCGCCGGAUCGGUACCUGAAGCCAAACCACUGUCGGAAUAGGUACCCGGUCGAAAUCUUCCUAUCCCUCGCCGCCCUGCUCAUGGUCAUCUAAGCCCUCGUCGUCGUGCUCGGGAUUUAACUGAAUGUUGUUGGUUUUUAAAUAAAUAUGUAUUGCAGAUUGGAGGAAAAAAUAAUGUUACACUGACGAGUGGGUCCCUAGACAUGGAGACCGCAUUAUAGCAACUCUAUGUUUGCUCACAGCCGCCGCGGCGCUCCAUAUCAUGGAUGUUAAUUGCCUAAACUUGAUAAGAACGAGCAAGAAAUCAUAAGUUUUAACGACUGAAACUAAAGCGUAUUGUGCUCUCGUACAAGAUUCAACUACUUCACAAUCACGAGGCAAUCGAGCAGCCCAACAAGGCUUGGCAGGUGCGUGUGCCCGGGCACCUACAUGCCCCUGCGAAUUUCCGCCGGCACCCCAUCAGGACCAGGCGCUUUGAGCUCUUCAAUACAAACCAAAGCGUCUUCACUUGUUCCUCGGUCUAUUGGCCACGCAACAUUUUCUCCUCUUGGAAUGAUAGCUUGUAGGAUGCCUUCAUUAUUUUGUCCAGCUCUAGAGGUGAAAAGGUUGUAAAAGUAGCAUGCAAUAUGCUCUUUCGUUGGCUUACUUUUCUUAGGGCAUCUUCAAUGCUGACUCGUAAAUUUGCUCUAGUAUCCCUCCGCGGUGGGGAAACUAGUCCGCAAAUACGGAUGCAGAAGCCGUCCAUCUAACAUUGUUCGCAUACAUUUCAACCCUUGUUUCAACUAACCAGAUGAAAUUCAUGCAAACACGACGGAUUUCAUUCAACUUCGGUCAUAAUUUACAUUAAAAAAGUCGAUAUUUCGACCGUUUAACUAAGAACUAGAAGAAGAAGAAAUCUAAACCCUAUAACGGAUGACCACCUCGUACGCGUCGCCGUCCUGCCAUGCCGCACCGCCAUCGUCGUCCCUGCCGUUGUCAUCGUCAUCAUCAUCGUCCCCGUACGUGGUCCCUCAAGCGGCGGAAAGGCGCUGAGGGCCGUGGGAGCCUUAUCUGGUGGUGCCCGUCGCUCGGUAAGGAGCCACCCCGCCUCCUUCAGUGCAAUGCGGAGGGUCAGUGCGGCCACUGCUGAUGUAGCCUUUGGAGCCUUGGCGGCGGCCUUGUCACGACCGGAGUUGCCGGAGCAGCCGCUAAGCGACUGCACCUCGCUGAUCUUGGCAAGCUCGCCGUCAAGGUAGCGGCGAUGCCUGGCGGUUGCCUCCACAGUGGUGACGGAGCAAUCGAGUGCCCACGCGACGGCCAAGUAGGGGGUCUUUGAGGGCCCAAUCCGGCAUGGUGUCUCUUUUGGCGAACGCAGAGCGGCUGUCGCACCGCGCCUGCUGCCUCGUCGCGCGCUCCUCGUCAGAGACGACGACCUCGGGGCCCAAGGGCCCGCCGACACUGCCUCCUAGGAGGUAGUGGAGAAUGCAGCCCUGCACCUUCGCGAUCACGGGCGGCAGCUCCACCUUGACGGUNNNNNNNNNNNNNNNNNNNNNNNNNNNNNNNNNNNNNNNNNNNNNNNNNNNNNNNNNNNNNNNNNNNNNNNNNNNNNNNNNNNNNNNNNNNNNNNNNNNNNNNNNNNNNNNNNNNNNNNNNNNNNNNNNNNNNNNNNNNNNNNNNNNNNNNNNNNNNNNNNNNNNNNNNNNNNNNNNNNNNNNNNNNNNNNNNNNNNNNNNNNNNNNNNNNNNNNNNGGGUGUGUUGGCGACGUUGGCUCGUCCUUGACACGAUGUCCGAUCUGGACGCUGCGGUAGUGCGGGGGCAAUGCCGACUCUUCCUUGACUUGGCGUCCGAUCUAGACGCCAUGGUUGCGCUCGGACGAUGUCGGCUCGUCCUUGACCAACCGGAGCUGGGACGCCGAGGAUGGUGGCUCCUCCUUGACGCGAGCUGGCGAUGGUGGUGACGUGCCCAUGUAACGAAGUGAACGCUUCGUCAAUAACUCGAUCUAACGGAUGAAUUCUUCGUCCGUCACAGCGGCCUCCGAGAGGAGGCGGGGCCUAUGCUACGACAGUUGUUGCUGCGGCAUCUAGUCCUAUGGCCAGAGGAGAUGACGAUCUCCUCCUUGCCGGAGGAGCCGGACAGCGUGUGCCGAGAUGCAGACGUGGUCCUGGACGGACACGAUGUCGUGCACGCUAAAGUUCAUCUCGGUGCCGCCCUCAUGGAUGGUUGCCGAGGCAUGGUCGCCGUCCCCGCCAUGGGAGGAGGUCGUGCAGGCGCCUCCGGCCAUGCAGCCACCGCAGGGGGCGCCUGCCCACUCUCAGAGGCGAAUCCAGGAUUUCUCAAAGCCUGGGGCUAAAACUAAGCGGCUAUAAAUAACGGUUCCGGGAAGAUGGUGGCCAGGUCGGCGGCGGCGGGAAAAACGGCUCCUUCAGUUUUACAGUAGGAUUUUCGGCGAGUGGCGGCGCGAGCGUCGGCGGCGGUGUAGGGGCAUCCUCUCGUUGGCUGGAGAUCUGAGGCACGCCUCCAACCUCCCUCCCAGCGUCGGCCAGAUCCAGCGGCCGCCGGAUGUGGCGCUUCUGCCCCUUGUUGCCUCUUCCUCCCUUGGGUGGCCGGAGCGGCAUCGGCAGUGGUUCUGGGCCUUCUCCUUCUUCGGCUCCAGCAGAUCUAGGUGCGCCUCCGACCUUCCUCGGCCGCCUCAGUACCGUCGGCCGUUGUCCUCCUCUCUGGUGCGGCGGUGUCUCUUUGUGCGUGCGGCCAUGUCCUUGCUAGUGCUCUGCUCGUGCAAGUGGUGUUGGCUCGACGCUCUGGUGGCUGGUGUCGUCUCUGCGCUGCUCGUUCUACUUCAUUCUGUGUCGUCGUCGUCCUCGUGAUUUACAAUGGCGUCACGAGUUCAUGCCCUGGAUAGUUCUUGCUGUCUGUGUGUGUGUGUCUGUUUUUUUAGAAAACAGGCAUUUUGGCCGGCCUUAAAUUAACAAUGGCAGAGUCGAUUACACAUCAAAGAAAAAGAAAAGGAGCCUGCCAGCAAGGCCUAGUCCUAAUCCGCUGGAAGCGGCGCAUCAUCCGCCCUGCUAUUUUCAAACCAAUAAAAGUUGCACAAUUUUGGUACAAGUACAUGCCAUACCUACGAAUUAUAGGGGGGAUGUUUUUUUAUUAAGUGUGAUUUGCAACAUUCCAAGACAGACAUGUGCUUACUGGUUGUUAUUGUAUCUGCUCAGGUUGCCAAAGACACCACAGAAGAACAUUCAUCUUCAGCACUGGCUGCUCUUCAAAUUGUGCCCUAUGCCAAUGUUUCCAACCCAAUAGUCCCGUCCACCAGCAGCAACACUCGCCCGGAAUGGCAUCUUGGCGUAUCACGUGAGAUAGAUGAACACGUUAAGGCCUGCAUCAGGAUGACCAGCAAUCUGCAAGAGGCCCUUGUGUUAGAACAUCUGGAUGACCGUUAUGUUAUUGCGCAGAGCACAGGGGCGACUGAUCCUCGGGAGACGUCAUCUUGUCCCACCAAACCCAAAGUUUAUGGUAGGGACCAAGAUCGGGACCUUGUAAUAAGUAAGUUAACAAGCAAGGAAUCUGCUGCUGAGAAAAACCUCUCCGUCCUUGCCAUAAUCGGUUACGGAGGAAUUGGGAAGACUACCCUGGCUAAUGUGGUUUUCAAUGACUCUGCUGUGUCAAAUCAUUUUGACGCGCGGUUAUGGGUCUAUGUUUCUGGCUAUUUUGACCAAGCUAAGAUUAUGCACAGAAUGCUCGAGUCCUUGACUGGGGACGACAGGCAUGAAAACAUCAAGGGUUUGAAGGAGCUGCAGGGCACCCUUGAAUCUGCACUGAAAUCAAAAAGGGUGCUACUUGUGUUGGAUGACAUGUGGGAAGAUAGGCAACAGCAAAAAUGGGAUGAGCUGCUAACUCCACUGCUUUCCAGUGAUGUUCCGGGGAAUAAAAUUCUCGUGACAACUCGAAAGCCAUCUGUUGCAAAAUUGAUUAAAGCUACAGAUCAGAUUAGUCUGAAUGGUAUAAAUGAAGACGACUUCUGGGAUUUUUUUAAAGAAUGUGCCUUUGGAGAUGAGAACUACAAAGUUGAACCAAGGCUGAAGAAAAUUGGAAAGGACAUACUUGUCCAGUUAAAAGGUAAUCCUUUAGCAGCAAAAAGUGUUGCCAAAUUAUUGAGAAAGAAUCAUACUGUUGAUUUCUGGAGGAGAAUUCUGAAAGAUAGUGAAUGGAAACAACAAGCAGAUGACUACGAUAUCAUGCCGGCCCUGAUGAUCAGCUACAAAUAUUUACCGGUGCACCUCCAGCGGUGCUUCUCAUACUGUGCUGUUUUCCCAAAGUAUUAUAAGUAUGAGAAAGAAUGUUUGGUCAAUAUGUGGAUAGCCCAAGGUUUGAUAUGUUCCACUGACAACAUGCAUAAACGAACGGAGGACAUUGGAAUUGAAUUUUUCAGUGACCUAGUUGAAUGGGGAUUUCUUCAAAAGGAAUUUGAACUUAUGACCACACAUAUCAUGCAUGAUCUCAUUCAUGAUUUGGCACAGAAGGUUUCAUCUCAUGAAACCUUCACCAUAGGGGACACUGAGUCUAGAAAGGCACCACAGCUUGUUCGUCAUGUCAGUAUAAUUGCUGAGUGGGUGUAUAAGACAGAAAUAGAUGGCACCGUGCAUCCUAAUGAGACUUUCCUCCGUGGAUUUUUUAAAUCAUUUGGUGAGCUGCAACAAACUAGUAGUAACUUGAGCACAUUGUUGCUGUUUGGUCCACAUGACUUUGAAUUUGCACACUCAUUCCGCCAAGAAUUCACUGAGGUGAAGUCAGUCCGUGUGUUGAAAUUAGACAUGGUGCUCUCUGAUCUGGAUUUAAUGAUCGGAAACAUUUCCUCAUUUAUUAAUCUUCGCUAUCUGGAGUUGGGCUGCUUUUAUAAGGGCCCCAGGUUGGAACUGCCAGAGGCUAUAUGUGUGCUUUAUCAUUUGGAAGUACUUGAUAUAAAGAAAAACUGGGGAAAUAGCACAGUUUUACCAAGAGACAUGAACAAGUUUGUUAAGUUACGCCAUUUUAUUGCCAGGGAUGAGUUGCAUGCAAAAAUAGCGGGUGUUGGGGAGAUGGUUUCCCUUCAAGAGCUCAAGGCAUUUGAUGUCCGAAAGGCAAGUGAGUUCAGCAUAAUGCAGUUCAGAAGAUUGAAUCAGCUCAGAGGAUCAAUUAGGAUUUGCAAUCUUGGUGAUGUAGGAAGCAAAGACGAGGCCAUCAACGCAAGAAUCUCUGAGAAGGUCCACCUCACUGGUUUGCAUUUAUCGUGGAACACUGUGUCUGAGGAUAGAGUUCAUACUGAAAGUAAUGUUGAUAUCCUCGAGGAUCUGAAACCACAUGCCGGACUUAUAGAUCUGGGAAUCAUAGCAUACCGUCAUCCUGUACCUUCAUGGCUCAGCAACAAUAUUCACCUCACCUCAUUGCGGUCACUUCAUCUGGAUAGCUGCUCUUACUGGAAAACGAUUCCAACACCCCACCAAUUGCCUCUGCUCCGUGAGUUGAGGUUGAGUAAUAUGGUUCGUGUUUCCAAAAUAGAGAUUGGCUGUUUGGAGAUAUUGGAACUACACACUUUGCACCGUUUAACACAGUGCAUAGUUUUGGACAAGGAGCAGUUAUCUGUGAAUCUGCGAGUUCUUGAGAUAGAUGACUGCAUUAGAUUGAAGGAAUUCCCCUUGCUGUCUAUCUCUAAAGAUACGCUAAUAAGUGAUUGUCAGUUUACUCAUCUUCACAGGCUUUGGGUUCGCGGUUGCUUUGUUCACAUGAGCAUCUCACAACUUCUGCACAUGGAUUCUUUAUUGUAUAUAGAUUUGUUCUUGAGGCCAAGUUUGGAGCAAUUUCGACUUGUACCGAUUGGCCAAUCAGAUGGGCUGCGCAUGGAAAUCAAAGGAACUGCGGAAGUUAAGAGCAAAGAUGAAAAAUUGUUCCCAUUCAACAAACUCAGGGACUUGGAGGAGCUUGAAAUAACAGAUUAUCCAGGUCUGAUGUGCCUGCCAUGGGAAGGCCUUCAAAAGUUGGCAUCAUUGAAAAAAUUUAAGAUGAGUAACUUCGGCAAACUAUUUUCUUGCAUAUCUGGGCUCUAUCUGCCUCCAUCAGUCCAAGAACUUGAGUUUAAUCGGUGCAACAUCACAAUGAAACAACUGUCGCAUGUCCUGCUGAGCCUUCCGUUGCUCAAGAAAUUCAGUUUAACUAGUUGUGAAGAGGUGACAUCUUUACCUAUAGGUCUGUUUACAGAUGAACACAACCAAACAGUGGAAGGCUCCUGGCAUAUCCCUCCCAGCUUCUUGGCGACUCUGGAAAGCUUGGAGAUCUCAUUCAGAAUGAGAGCGCAUGCCAAAGAAAGCUCAGUGAUGCAAUUUUGGAGCAAGCAAUGCUUGGGGAAGUUCACCUCUCUUAAGAAAGUUGUCAUUGAAUAUUGCCCUGCUCUCCUAUCUACUGUGAUUUCAGGAGGAAUGUCCCAUAUACCUCCAUCUUCUCUGGCAACACUCCGUGUGGAUUGCAUCACAGACCGCCGUCUGCAAUUAUCAGAACUCUCUUCCCUCACCGAUUUACAUGUCAUUGAUUGCUCAUCUUUGACAUGUGUCAACUUGGAUGGUUGCACUGCAUUACGAGAGCUGUAUAUUUCAGGAUGCGGCAUGUUAUCAUCGCUUGAAGGUAUGCAGUCAUGUGAGGCAUUGCGGCAGUUUAGCAUCUAUGAUUGCAAGGCGCUUCGUUCGCUCAGAGUAUCGCUCGGCAGCCUCGCAACACUGAGCAUAGAGAGCAAUCCCAAUUUGGCAUAUGUAGACCUGAAUUCUUGUACGGCGCUGCAGAAACUGUGCAUCAAAGGCUGCGCUACAACAGCGUCGUGGGAUGGUCUUAAAUCCCUUGGUGCUCUCGGGGACUUGAAAGUUGAAAAUUCUCCAGGCUUCACAAGGUCAUGGCAAUUAGCAUCGGCAGAAGUUGAGAGCAAGCAUAGCAGCUACUUCCCGCGAAGACUGCAAGUGCUUGAUAUUGAUGACAUUGGUGUCCUAUGUGUGCCCAUUUGCAGUCAGUUAACCUCUCUGAAGACACUCACCAUUCAUGGAUCUAUUUAUUGUCGGCGUGACUAUGGGGACGCUUUGACGGAUGACCAUGAGAGAGCACUGCUACUUGUCACCUCCUUGAGAGACCUCGAAUUUGAUCAGUUUAAGCAUCUCCGGUCACUGCCUGCAGGGCUUGAAUGCCUUACAACGCUGCAGAGGCUAACUGUUAGCAGAUGUGAACUUAUCACGUCCCUACCAGCGGGGGGUAUCCCGGCAUCGCUCAGGGACAUGGAAAUCCAUGGUUGCAGCGAAGAGCUAACUGCACAAUGCCGAGCAAUGUGCAGAGAUCGAAAGAUAUAUUUUGGCGUUGGUGCUUAUACCGUUGGCUCGAUAGAAACAGAUUAGCCUGAGUAUCUGUAUGUAUCAAGAUGCUGCCAUAUAUAGCUCCACUUUCUGGCUCCAAAUCUGGUUUGAUCCUUGAGAGCUUCAGAAUCAAUCAGGUAGGGAAUCAUGUUUCAAAUUUGAAAGUUGUCAGAUUUCUGUCUAUGCGAUGUAUUCCUCUGACUGACUGACUGAUGUGCUAAAGCUCAGUCAGGAAGUUGUAAUGUAGGAAAACAUUAGGUAAAGUCUUGUUUUCCAUGGCUUAUUCCUCCAUGGAAUUUGUAGUGGGCUUCACGCUGAUCUGUUGCUAGAAUGUACUGACCAGACUUGUUUCAUUUUUGACAGGAUGUAACCGGUUCUUGCUGCUACAAUCUUAAUUGCCAAGAGUAUUGAGAGAAGAGAACCUGUGUGUAUUAAAUGCAUGUACAUCAGGGUUCAGGUUCGAAACGACGGAUGAAGAGAUUUGCUAGAUUUAUCCUAUCCAGGUGAAGGGAUUUUGAGCACACUUAACAAAUUCCAAUUUACGGAUUCGCCGAUAGAAAUGAUCAGGCUGUUUUUUAGGGACUUGAAGAAAAAGACUGGAGAGCUGGAGGGAUUUAAAUCAUUUGUUUUUAUCUUAUGAUGAUGCAGUUCACAGACUUAUUGUUUUACUCUCCUUUUUCCACAAUUGAUAGUAUCAAUUCAUUCAAGGCAAUUCAAUAGUGAGUCUACUAGUAGAAUAAUCCAUGUAAAUGAACUAAACCUUAUAUAGAAUCUAAAUAGAAUUUAAGAAGCAGUCAAAAUAACCAAAUUCCUACAAUUUACAAGUUCCACGACGUUAAGUUGUUGCAGAGCUCUUAACUGUAAAGGGUAUUCACUUGGAAACCGUCAAAAUCCAUACAAUUUUCAUGCUACUACUGCAUUGAUUUGAGUAAAUUACGUAAAAUCACCACUUUAAGGGCUAGGUUUGUAGAAAACACUACGUUACAUUUUUUUUCAGAAAACACCAUGUCUACCGUAAACAUUUUGCAAAUUAUAUUGAUCGGCAGAUUUGGAUCAGUUAAACAUGUUUAUGACAGUUGGGCCCUUUUUUGCUUACCUGGCCUAACAUUUUUGUGUCAGAUCAAAUUUAAUCUAGAUUUACAAACCAGUCCUUAGAUUUUACAUAGAGACCCUGAAUCAAAACGUAAAAAAGCAAUUAGACACACGUGCAUCCCACACCACUGGUUGGUGCGGUCAACGCUGGCGGCGCUGGGCAUCUCCUUCGCGCAGCGGCGCAACCACGCACGAGCCACACCGGGGCAGCGGCGCGACAUCCCUCUCCAGAUCCGUAUGGCACCCCAUGCCUGCUCGUCUUGCGUGGCGGCUGACAGCCACGAACUCAUCCCGCCGGACGGAGGGCCAUUGGAUCUGCGCUACGCGAGGGCCGCCGCGACCGAGGGCCACUGGAUUUGUGCUGCGCGGCGCCGGCUGGGGCGGUCAACGUCGGCGGCACUGGGCAUCUCUUUCGUGUAGGAGGCCAAACCGGGGCGGGCGGCAUGGUAUCCCUCGCCGAUUCCGGGUGAGGUGGCGGUGCUCAGGUCAGAUCCGGGGCGCGUGAGGUGCUUGGGGCUCACCGACCAGAAGUUGAGGAGGUCAAGCGGUGGCGGUUAGCAAGGGCGGCGGCGCGGCUGAAAACGCGACAGGCGAGGUCCAGGGGUUGGAGCUCCGGUGAACUCGGGCGGCUGCGCGGGCAAGGCUGACCAGGUGGCUGGACAAAGUCCAAGGACACAAGGGGCUUCGGCGGCACGAUGAAGAAUGUUGGGGUGUUUUCGCUUUUUGACCCAUCUAGCGCUGACGUUAGCAAAACGUUAACUGAGCCAAAUCCGUCCAUAGACAUGGUGACUUCUGCAAAAAAAAAAAAUGUAACAUAGUGUUUUCUGCAAACCUAGCCCUCAAAGUGGUGGUUUUAUGCAAUUUGCUCAAUUGAUUUCUAACGUAAAUAGAACUGUAAAUAGUAUCCCUUUGUAUUCACCAUUUCGUUAAGCAAGAGCUCUAGGCUAAUCUGGGACAUUCCAGAAAUCAAAAGGAAAUGGAAGAUGUUCCCAAGCCAGAAGCAACAUCAAGCAACUCUUAAACACAGCACAGGAAACAAGAUUAAAUAGCAAGUUGACCAUCUUUAGAUUCUCAGUCGACCAACAUCUGUCUUAAUAUCAAAGAGCUCAUUCUAACACAAACGAACCCAUAAACCAUGGUCUUAAGCUACAAUCUCGAUAAACAAAAUCAUCGCAGUGUUUGCAGAAUUCAAACAUCAACAGAGAGGACAGCACCCCACGCGCGCAUUGGAUCUGAAGACCUGUUGGGUGCUCCCACUUGCUGAAGAGUCGCUUCUUCACUCCAUGGUAGCUCCAGAACCAAAAGUGCCGCCGCCGCCUCCACGGCCAAAGGGCCUGGCAGCACCACCAGCACCCUGGAGAAACAAUUAUACAUUGUACCAAAUUAGAUAACCAUAAGUAUGGAGUUAUAUAUGUCCAAUGAAGGAAUGUUUUACAUAGUACUCCCUCUGUCCCAAAAUAAGUGACUCAACUUUGUACUAACUUUACACUACAAAGUUUGGUCGCUUAAUUUGGGACGGAGGGAGUACCAACACAAGAAUUGAGCACUGUUUAACGUAGUACAAAAAACAGAACUGAGCACUGCCAAGCUAAGAUCAAGCCUCAUAGUAAACCAGAGCUGAAUACUACAAUCAAUGAUCAAGCAAAAAAGCAAACACAGUAUCACAGUAGAACAGUUCAACAUACAAUCUAGUUACCAACACUUGUUCAAAUGCUAGACGCUAGAAACAUAAUCAUGCCAUGAAAGCAGACCUCAGUCGAUGACAACAAUCAUAUGGAACAGUAAGUGCAGCCCUUACCCUGAAAGCUGGCUGGUACUCAGCAGGAGCUCCACCCUUCUCACCAGCAAAAUCCCCUGGAGCACCACGUGGGCCUCCUCUGUAACCAUCCCUGUCACCAUACCUGGGCCUGUCACCCUCAAAACGAGGAGGACCCCUGCCAAAUUUAACAAAACCAAUUAGUGAAUAGGAAUACAUCAGUGUUCUUGAUAUAUGAAUGUGACAUUAACAGAAAAGCUGGAUACCAUGGAACAAUUGCAUUUCAUACUUUGCCAAAUGUAACUACUUAUGACUUUAACUACACAGCAUUCCAGGGAGGAAUUGCAAGUUCAAUGAUAGAAUAUAUAAAGAAUGCAAGCCUAAUUCCCCUGUGUUCCCACAACUAAAUCACAUGGCGAUAUAACAGAAAUGGAACAAAGAUUAUUAUUGAGCAUUACUGUGGCAUGGCAAGGUUCAUCAAAUAAUUUAAUCUUUGCUAAACAAAUGUUGGAUCAGGACUAAAAAUUAUACUCAUUCCAAGUCAACAGGCACCAAGACUGGACAGACUAAUAAAUAUCCAGAGUAUAACUGCAUGAUCAAUGAGGCACAUCCUCACAAGAUCUUAUGCCCAAAACAGACAGACAGAAUGAUGAAGAUACUUAGCUCACCUGGGGCGGUCACCCGGUGGGCCAGAGCCGAAGGGGCGGGACGGGGGCUUGGCGGACUUCUUGAGGGUGUUGGGCACAAUCUCAGACGGCAGGUUGAGGAAGGUGCGUAGGAACUCAAUGCCGUCGUUGGUCAGGUACCAGUAGUAGUGCUGCCACGAGAAGGUCUCCCUGACGUACUCCUUGGACUUGAAGCUCUGCAUGAGCUUGAUGACCUCCAGGUUCGAGGCAUCGACCUGGGGGUGCUUGGCCAGGUUGUAGUCCUUCUUGGCGUACAAGACUCCCUCUGCACACACACGCAUCACAAUAAAUUCAGUCAAAUCGUUCAGUCCGUCCAAAGGAGUAGCAUUCUUGCACACAUCAAAAGUUGAAAUUCGCAGCAAGGAAUUCAGUUAAGAUGCUCAGACUACUGUAAUAGUCAGUAGAAUUCUUCAAGAUUGCAGCUUGCGCAUGAACAAGAUUCUUCGGUCAGGAUGUCAGUGAUAUAAUAACUGUCUAUGCUCGAACCUUGCAGCAACCGCGCGUAAGAGCGAACUCGCCGCGGUCAAUGGGUGCCAAGAUCACUGACGGAGCAACCUGGCUAAAACCCUAGACUUGACUCGAACCCUACGGAAGAAGACUAACGAGAUGGCAUCUGGAUCCUAACCACAGCCUGCAAGGUGCGAAAAAUGGGCGAGGGAGGGGGGAGGGGCUCACCCUGGAAGAGGUACUUGCAGAUCUCGCGGCGGUUCUUCUUGGAGAUGAUCUGCGGAGGGAGACAAGGGAGGUCAGAUUAGGGAGUUCUACGACCGGAGCGACCAACGCGGAGAGCGGACUGGGCUGGGGGAUGCUUACCAUGGUGACGGGCGGCGGCGGGGACGGAGACGGCGUGCAGGGGAGCGGGAGGCGGAGCGCGGCUGCUGCGAGGGAUGGAGGGAGGGAGAAACCCUAGCCGUCUGGGGGGUCGGUAUAUGUAGGGAGCCGCCUGGGCCGCGAGGUGGGGGUGAGAUGGGAUGGGCUGGUGUGGUGGGCUUGCAUCUGGGCUUGUUGUUCCUGGGGCAGGCUUUGCCACUUUGCUGUGUGGUUCUGUGCAGGCCCGGUCGAGAAGACACACGGUGGCCCACUCAGGUGCUCUUGGUAAACAUUGAGAUGACAUGGGCUUGUGCUUCCCCUCUUCUCUUUUCAAUUUUUCACACUCGCUUGAAUUCCAUGUUCGUUCAGACGUGCAAGCUUACUGGUUUCAGAUAAUGUUAGCCAUGUAUAUGAAAAAUGUUAAGCCUGUAUAAAAAAUGUUUUGGAUGUGUACCGAAAUGUGCAGUGCGUAUGAAUACAAUAGGCAUCAAAAGGUGUGUUUCGAAAAUUAUGUUAAUCAUAUAUUUGAAGAAAAUGUUAAGCAUGCACUAAAAUAUGUUUUGGAACUGUAAGGAAAAAAUGUACGAUGUGUCUGAAAAAAAGUGGACAUCAAAACAUAUACUGGAAAAAAUGUGAAUCAUGUAUAUGAAAAAUGCUAAACCUGUAUAAACAAGUGUUUUAGAUGUAUACCAAAGAUGUACAAUGGGUAUGAAAACAAUAGACCUAAAACCAUACAUUUUAAAAAGAAAAUCUUAAUCAAUUAUUUGAGAAAUUUUAAGUAUUAAAAAAUGUUUUAGUUACCAAAAAUGAACAAUAUGUAUGAAAACAACUUACAUCAUAACCUAUAUUUGAAACAAAUAUUAAUCAUGUAUUUGGAAAAUGUUAAACGGGUAUGAAAAAAUAUUGUUGACGUAUACAAAAAAUGUACAACGUGUAACAAAAAAUGUAGGGAUAUAUUGAAAAAAGGAACAAACACAGAAAACCAAACAAAGAAAGCAGAAGAGAAAAAAAGAAAUGAAAAAACAAAAGGAAAACUAGUGAAAAAAUAAAAAGAAACAAAGAAAACAAGAAACCCGAGAAAGAAACAAAAAAACAAAGAAAACCGCCUCCAAUCCAACUAUGGGAGCAACUGAGCAUGUGCACGAACCCAAAAAAAAUGAUUGUAAAGUCAUGCAGUCCACACGACUGUGCCAGAAAACAAACAAAAACUGGUACACCGGGCCAUCCGGUCCCAUUUUUGGACACGUGUAAGCGAGUGCAAUGCAGUUUUUGCAGUAACCAAUAUAUAAAUAAGUUUUCUUUAGAAAUAUAUAUAUAUAUAAAGAACUAAGCGAGUGCGCUCGUGCACAGGAUGAGCACAACCGAGUACGUUCGUGGGCCACGGCCCAAGGUAAUCACGUUCAGGCGUUUGGCGGAAAGAAAACAGAGUUGAAGAAACAACCAUUCUCUCUCUCUCAAUUUAUUUUUGAAGAAACAACUAAAUACAGAUGCAUGUCGUCCGACGGAAGAUUGGGAAUUACACGGGAGUCCACACUCACCUGAAUGUUGUUCCACGGGUGUAAAAAAACAUGUCGUGAUGCCAAAGUUGUUUGCUUCAGAUCACACCUAGGAUUCAGAACUAAGAAUUUAGAUGGGACCAACAUGGCUCGGCUACACAAAAUUCAGCUGACCAACAUCGAGACCUCUCACGUAUCUUUUAUAAAAGAUAAAAGCGCGCCAAAUUUGAAGAUGAGCUCAAUCUCCAAAUCUCCAUGCCAUAUAGAGCUUGCUAAAACAAACAAAUCUAAGCUCACCCAGAAAAAAUCCUUCACAAUUUGAUCCAAGGAUGGGGGCCAAUGCCCCCCCCCCCCCACAUACAAUUAUCAGCAUCCGACACUUUUUCAUAGUACCGAUAAUUCUGCUUGAACUGCUCCAUAGAUCCAGUACUUUCGCUCUCUUCCUAAGCAGAAUAUCUUAAGCAGGCAUCUCUUGAAAGUCAAACACGCACAUGACCCAGGAACUAAUGUUUAGGAGAAAAGAGAGCAUAAGUGUAAUGCUGCACAGGUACGCAAAUGCAUUGGACGUGGCAUAACUGGCACAAGGUUCGUUCUCGCAUAGGUCAAAACCGAUGAUGAACCAAGAAAUGCACCUCACAUGCUCGCUGAACCGACAAGAGCUGCUCCUAUAACCUGUAAAAAACAAUACCAUGAUGAGGAACAAUAGAGAGAAUGAAAAUAAAAAUAAAAUAAUCAAAUCCAUUUGACUACUUAUAAAUACUUCUAUUCUACUCCCUCCGUACCAAAAUAUAGGAUACUUUUGCAGUGCAACAAUGUCCUAUAUUUUGGCACAAAGAUAGUAGUCUAUUAUUUGUUUGUCUUUAGCUACUGUUUAUCAAAAAAUAUAAACAACUCACUGACUGCAAAAGGAGGCUGAAAUCAUUCCAAGUUCGUGAUAAGGUGAUGGUAUAUCCCCGAAAAGAGAGAUUGUCUUUAGGUAUAAAAGAAAAGCUUAGCAGCGAAGGUAAGUGCCCUUCUCUAUUCAGAGGAAGAUAAAUGAUAAUGCGUAUGUAAUAGAUCUUCCAAGCAACAUAUCUUUCUACCACCCAAGCAACAUAUCUUUCUACCACCUAGAAGAAGUGCUCUAUGAAGAUAACUCAUGGUCCAAGUUUAAACAACCAAGGGAGAAUUAUGAGCAACAACAGAUAGAGAAAAAUAAAAUCAAAAAUCAAAUCCAUCUGAUUACUUCCAGAUACUUAUAGUCUAAUCAACUAGUAUUUCUUUGUCUUCUUAGCUUUAGCUACUAUUUUCUAGAGUCUUCUAGCUAUGAGUAGAAUGUUAAAUCUUAAGUAACGGUUUCUAAAGUGUUCUAGCUAUAAGUAGAAGUUAGGGUGUUAAAGCUUACCCAAAGCUCUAUGUAUAGAUAUAGGUCCACACCUCUAGUUUGCAACAAGAUUUUGUACCCCACUGCCUAUGAUAGAACUUGGUGUUCUUAUCUAAGAUCAUAAAUUAGAUCUUGUGCUCUAUGAGUUUUGGACUGAACUCAUGUUGCCGUAUCGGCCUAUAUUCGCCUCUAGAGCGAUAUCUAGCACGGCAUGUUGAAGUAGUUCCUUCAACACUACACAUUGUAGCAACAAGUUGGAGUUGUUCCUCCACAACCUUGUGCUGCCUCACACCACUAACUCAAAUACAUUACUAUGAGAAAAGAAACAUUGAGAAGAUUAGAAUGCACACUUCCGCGAUAGCAAGAGCCUGACUAAGCAAAGCAUGAUGUAGAUGCGGCUUGACGAGCAGUGCGUACACAUCCAGAAAAGCCAACAUCAGACUCCACAGACACAUCACGCCAGAAGCUGCAAGAACAAAGCUGACCAAAUGAAUACCUCGUUAGUUUGAUAUCCAAAAAGAACUAGGAGCAACGUGAUUAUUAGAAUACAAGUAAAAAAAUCUGACCUAGAGAAGGGAACAUACGUGAAGCUGGUGCUGGCCAUAUGUCUGCUAGCCCACUGGCUCCACUGCCCCCCUCCACCUCCAUUGGGAUUUGGAUUCAUUAAGGAUUUGGGUAUGAACUAACUAUUGUAUGCAUCGGUAGAGAUUGUUAAACAAAUAGAAUAUAAGCUCACCCCAAGAAAAUCCUUCACAAUUUGAUCCAAGGGUGGGGGCCAAUGCCCCCCCCCCGCCCCCAACUCGGUAUGCGCGUAGCUCUACCUCCGAUUCUAUGUACAGUAUCACACUGGCUCGCAAAAUUAGAACACUCAAAAGAUAAAAAGUAGGGAACCAAAAUAUCACACCACAUAUAAUAGCUACAUAAAACUAUAGGGAGAAUACUACCGGUUGAAUGAAAAUGUAAAACCCCUUUCACAUGUUUCUAACAAAGUAGUCAAACGAACAACUUUGUAGUUUCAUGGUCAGCUUGAUUACAUCUUCCAGGGAAAAAAUGACAUGUUGAUUUCUUCAGUUAUACAAGUAGAAUUGAGCGAAACAUCCUUCCAUGAACUAGUUCACGGUAUGGGAAAAAUUAACAGAAGUGGCAUGUUGAUUUCUUCAGAUAUACAAGUACAAUUGAGCAAAACGUUCUUCCAUGAACUAGUUCACAUAAUUAGGGCUCGAUAAGACUUGCAUAGAGGGAGAGGAUGUGAUAUUGUACCAAUAUUUUGAACAACAUUUAUCGGCUUGGCACUGCUGGCUGUAGGCGUGAGGACCACAAGAGCGAUGAGAAUCCAUUUUUUUGUUUUCUUCUUGGUGCACCGGAAUUUCUUCUCUCAGCUUGUCUCCGAAUGGAACUUGUCCUUUUCAGGGCUCUUCGGCUUAGUAGCGGUGUCGUGUGCCGUGCUUGAUGGUACAUUUUGGUUGAAUCAAAAUAGUUACUUCUUUUAAGUUCAAUUUCUAUGAGAGAACAAUAUGAAUGUUAUACAUUGUUCUGUUAAAACACUCAUUUUUUUGGUAUAACUAUAAACUUUUACAUGGCUCCUUUUGUUUAGUGUCUCCUAUUUUUUUUGGGUUUAUUAACCUUUUGUUUUCUUCUAUUGGUAUUCUGCUAUUUUGCUAUAUAAGGGGCAGUAGGAUUUAUUGUAUCUGAAUCUACCACUUCAAGCACUACAAAGGAGCAGCGGAGAGAACUGCUACGAAGAUAGCAUCACAAAUAUUCACAAGUCUAAGUCUGAACCACUUCAUACAGGUAGAAGUAGAAUGUUCAACAAAACAUAUGUUUCAAAAGCUGACUUGUGCUAUUAAAAUACACAAUGCACGAAUUGGAAGUUCUACCCUCUUAUAUAAGCUCUACCAGCAGCAUAUGUUGAUUAUCUGACCACCUUGUUAUCUCGGCAGUUGUAGGAAGCUCCAGAAUUCAAAUGACAAGGUUUUUUUGGUUGGGGUGUCACCCUAUAAAUAUAGACAAUGGAGCAAAUCCUCGUUCAUUUAUCUAACGACAUUUAGGUUCUCUUAGCGUCGUAGAGAUCAAUCUGCUCGAUUGUAUGAGAGCUUCCUCGUUAGGGCUUAUUCUUGUUGUCUUCUAUUGACUAAAACUGACACUUUUUUUAAUAGUUGUCUGGUCAUUGUGUGGACAUUUAAACACAGUAGAUGUUAUCUAUAUGUGUAAUGCAUCUUGUGACUAGAUAUAUAACUCACUGCCACUCCCCUAAGUUUUACUGGUUUAAUGGAUUCGCCCUGCCUUACUGUCAUUUAUUCAGAAUUUUUUACUGGUUUGUUGAUGUACAAAGUGUUGAUCCAGUUCUUCUCAUUUGAUCAGAAUAUGCGUACACCAUGAUGGUCACUAAGAAAUCUGACAUACAGUUAUGGCGUUGUGCUGUUGGAGCUGCUAGUAGGUAGUGCACCUGUGCAACAAAUAUAACUGGGAGGUGAUCUCAUAACAUGGGCCAAAAAUUACAUCAGGGACAAUUCUCUGGGCCCAGGGAUCCUCGACACCAAUCUGGAUUUGGAAGAUAAAGCCGCCGUCAAUCAUUGAGUUCUUGAAAAUUGCUCUGCUAUGUAGUUACCUGUCGCUGUGUGAGAGUCUGUUGAUGCAGCAUGUUGUACUUGUGUUAAGCGAGUCGAAAGGUCGGGCAUGGGCGAGCUCCGCAUCCUUGUCUGCUUCUGAUUAUUCUUCCAAGAAGGAUAGCUCAUGAUGUAUAUUUAUAUAAGUUCAGUUAGUGAAGGCAAUACCCCUUGUUCCAUUUACCUUGUUAUUACUUAUGGUGGGGAUUUGGGGAGCCUGCACUCAUUCUUUCUAUAUUUUCUCACUUUAGCUAUACGUAAGUCGCCUGAAAAUUACUUUUGGGUCAGUCACUUUUUUUCUAGUCUGGUCUAUGUAUUGUUUUGGGCUGUUUUUUUUUUGACUGACCAUAUAUUUGGGUCAGUUGAUUCCUUAAUGGGCCGAACCCAUUACAUGUGUGACCCAGUGUUCCCUUUUCUCCCUUUAUUUCUCUGUUUUCUUUUAUUACGCAUUUUUGCUUUUGUUUUUUGUUUUUCUUUAUUAGUUGGUUUUCAGUUUUUUCCUUUUGCGGCUAUUUUGAGAUGUUCAGUGAGUGUAAAUGUAUGCACAAAAUAAUUAUACAAUAUGUGUCAAAAUUGCAUUAUUAUAUGACUAUUGUUUCAUGUUACAAAAAGUGCUAUUUCAGUGCAAACUCGUAUGCAAGUUUUAUUUUUGAAAGUGCGUUAUAUCGACUAGAGGGGGGGUGAAUAGGCGAUUUUUAUGAAUUCUUCACUGAGGAAUUUGCGGGUGAGGAAAUUCCUUAGCGAAGAACUACUUGCAGCGGAAUAAGUACUCAGAAGUAAACAUAACAGAGCACAAGCAUGGUCAUCAUGAUGAAAUGAAGACAGGCACAGAGUACAGAAAGUGUAAACACAUGAUAACACAGGAUGAAGACAAACAGACUGAAGAAAUUGAACUGAGAAAAUUGACUAGCUCGUUGAUCAAAGAUGGUCAUGUUUCCUAGCCAUAGACAUGAGUUGUCAUUUGAUUAACGAGAUCACAUCAUUAGGAGAAUGAUGUGAUUGACUUGACCCAUUCCGUUAGCUUAGCACACGAUCGUUUAGUAUGUUGCUAUUGCUUUCUUCAUGACUUAUACAUGUUUCUAUGACUAUGAGAUUAUGCAACUCCCGUUUACCGUAGGAAUUCUUUGUGUGCUACGAAACGUCACAACGUAAUUGGGUGAUUAUAAAGGUGCUCUACAGGUGUCUCCGAAGGUACUUGUUGGGUUGGCGUAUUUCGAGAUUAGGAUUUGUCACUCCGAUUGUCGGAGAGGUAUCUCUGGGCCCACUUGGUAAUGCACAUCACUUAAAGCCUUGCAAGCAUUGCAAUUAAUGAGUUAGUUGCGGGAUGAUGUAUUACGGAACGAGUAAAGAGACUUGCCGGUAACGAGAUUGAACUAGGUAUUGAGAUACCGACGAUCGAAUCUCGGGCAAGUAACACACUGAUGACAAAGGGAACAACGUAUGUUGUUAUGCGGUUUGACCGAUAAAGAUCUUCGUAGAAUAUGUGGGAGCCAAUAUGAGCAUCCAGGUUCCGCUAUUGGUUAUUGACCGGAGACGUGUCUCGGUCAUGUCUACAUAGUUCUCGAACCCGUAGGGUCCGCACGCUUAAAGUUAGAUGACGGUUAUAUUAUGAGUUUAUGUGUUUUGAUGUACCGAAGGAGUUCGGAGUCCCGGAUGAGAUCAGGGACAUGACGAGGAGUCUCGAAAUGGUCGAGACGUAAAUAUCGAUAUAUUGGAUGACUAUAUUUGGACAUCGGAAAGGUUCCGAGUGAUUCGGGUAUUUUUCGGAGUACCGGAGAGUUACGGGAAUUCGUAUUGGGCCUUAAUGGGCCAUACGGGAAAGGAGAGAAAGGCCCCAAAGGGUGGCCGCACCCCUCCCCAUGGACUAGUCCGAAUUGGACUAGGGAGGGGGGCGCCCCCUUCCUUCCUUCUCCUUCUCCCUUCCCUUCUCCUACUCCAACAAGGAAAGGAGGAGUCCUACUCUCGGUGGGAGUAGGACUCCCCCCUUGGCGCGCCCUCCUCCUUGGCCGGCCGCCUCCCCCCUUGCUCCUUUAUAUACGGGGGCAGGGGGCACCCCAAAGACACAACAAUUGAUCUCUUGAUCUCUUAGCCGUGUGCGGUGCCCUCCUCCACCAUAAUCCACCUCGAUAAUAUCGUAGCGGUGCUUAGGCGAAGCCCUGCGUCGGUAGAACAUCAUCAUCGUCACCACGCCGUCGUGCUGAUGGAACUCUCCCUCAAAGCUCGGCUGGAUCGGAGUUCGAGGGACGUCAUCGAGCUGAACGCGUGCUGAACUCGGAGGUGCCGUGCGUUCGGUACUUGAUCGGUCGGAUCGUGAAGACGUACGACUACAUCAACCGCGUUGUGCUAACGCUUCCGCUUUCGGUCUACGAGGGUACGUGGACAACACUCUCCCCUCUCGUUGCUAUGCAUCACCAUGAUCCUGUGUGUGCGUAGGAUUUUUUUUGAAAUUACUACGUUACCCAACAAAUAGAACCAGUAAGCUUGGUGAAGACAAUGAUUUGGUAGACCAGUUCCAACUGUUGUCUCAGUUGUACAUCUGGUUGGAGCGGCUAGGUAUUUAAACCUGAGGACACAUAGUCCCGGACACACAGUCCUCACCGUAUUCUCCUUGAGCUAAGGUCACACAGACCUCGCCCAAUCACUCGUGGUAAGUCUUCAGGUGACUUCCAAACCUUCACAAAUUCGGUCACUCGGCGAUCCACAAUUCCUCUUGGAUGCUCUAGACCAUGACGCCUUACCGUCUGGAAGAAGCACAGUCUUCAAAGGUAACAAGCGUCGGAUCCACGCAGGAUCAAUCUCUUCAGUGAUGCUCAAUCACUUUGGGUUUGUAGGUGUUUCGGUUUGGGUUUUUCCUCACUUGAUGAUUUUCGCUCAAAGUCCUCGGAGGAUGGGAUGCUCUUAAAUGACAAGUGUCAGUUUCUCUCGGAACAGCCAACCAGCUAGUGGUUGUAGGGGGCGACUAUUUAUAGCCUAGGGAGCAGCCCGACAUGAUAAGACAUAAAUGCCCUUCAAUAAUAUGACCGUUAGGUGGAUAAGAUAUUUUGGGACAGCUGGCGCAUAGCACAGCAACGGUCGGAAAUUUGAGGCUCAAAUUCCUCAGGGCUAUCAUGUUCCUCACUGUGUAGGCAAUCCGCACUGGCGAAUUCCUAACUCCUCAGUCAGAACAAAUUCCUCAGAGACCAGAAGAACUUCGUCUCUGUCACUGAAGAAUAUGACUGAACUGUAUGAGAUUUCCAAUGGCUUCACUCGAAGGGAUUGGUAGGUGUAGGAUUUUGAGUUGAGCAUCACAUGGAAAUUUUUCCUUAGUAUUCCUCGACCCCCUUUAACAGUACGGUGUCUCCUAUGACUCAAGAAAGAGAAAAUGGAACUACGAAAACAAAAGUCUUCACGCUUCAUGUUCCUCAAAUGAAUACCAAGUCUUCAAGGUCACACCAAUUUCUUCACUUUCAAGGUCUUCAGAAAGUCUUCAGAAAUCCAAAGUCUUCAGUCGAAGAACUUCAUUUUUAGGGGUCGACUUUCUCUGUAAAUAUCAAACUCCUCAUAGACUUGUGUACACUCAUAAACACAUUAGUCCCUUAACCUAUAAGUCUUCAAUACACCAAAAUCACUAAGGGGCACUAGAUGCACUUACAAUCUCCCCCUUUUUGGUGAUUGAUGACAAUAUAGGUUAAGUUUUCAACGGGGAUAAACAUAUGAAGUGUAAAUACUGAUAUUGAGGAAUUUGAUUGCAAGAUAUAGAAGAACUCUCCCUGAAGAUGUGCAUAGUGGGGAAUUUGCUUUUGAAGCAAUGCACACUUGAAGAGUUGAAUCAUGGAGAUCUCCCCCUAUAUCUUGUAAUUCAUACACGCAUUUGAUAUAAUAUGAAGAAUUUGAAAUGCAUGAUGAAAUAUGGUGACUGGUGUAAUAGCAUGCGUGCAUAAACAUUAAUGAGGAAUAAGCAUGCAGAAAAACUACAGCAAAAGUAUCAAGUCACCAUAGAGUUUAAGUUUACAACUCGAUCCAGAAAAGUCAUCAGAAGAACGAGAGUUGUAACUUAAGAAAAAAAUGCCCAUAUAAGAUAGACCCGCUUGAAGACUAACUCAAAUUUCUCCCCCUUUGUCAUCGAAUGACCAAAAGGAUCGAAACUGAGGACUAACGCCCCUGAAGAAUCUCAAGUUGAUGAAGGAGCGCCAGCAUUGUUGGGGUCGUGUGUUGAUGUAGGGCUUGCCGCAGUGUCGUCCAAGUCUUCAUGCUCAUCGGUGUCGCGCGAUGAAGAAUAGGAGCUGGCCACCAAGGAAGGAACCUUGACCUUCUUGUAUUUCUUCGGUGGAGGAGCAGACCAGUCAAAAUCUUCCUUGAGACCCAUUUUCUUCAGAUCUUCUUCGCUAUAAAUGUGAGACAGAACAACCCUGGUGCGGUUGAGGGUUUCAUGAAGGUAGUAAUGGUUUUUCUUCACUGCAUUGUGGGUAGCAGUCAUGUUGUGAAGAAUGGAACCAAACUGAUGCUUGACCCAUUUGUGAUUGCGAUCAACCUUCUGGUGAAGACUGAGGAGAAGCUCACGAUCAGUCAUCACCCUGGGAGCUGUGCCUUGAGGAUUUGGCUUGGUUGCGUUGGCGGCAGUCAUGAGUGGCAGAGUCAUCAUUGGUGGAGUAGGAUGCAGCCUUGCGAAAUUGACCAUCCAAUGGACGAAUGCCUUCAUCAAUAACAGCAGUAGCCUUGCCCUUGUCAUUAGCUGAGGAAUACAGCCGCUUGAGGACUUCAAUUGGGGGCAAGUAGCUGAGGUGAUUCUGAAAAUCAGCUUUGUAGUUGAGUGAAGACCUUGUUCUGAUGAAUCUCAUAAUCCACGGAGCAUAAGGCUUCAACUCAAAUGGUGACAUUGCAACAUUGGCCAGAGUCCUCAUGAAGAAAUCAUGGAAGUUGACGGGAACGCCAUGCAUGAUAUUGAAAAGCAGAUUCUUCAUGAUGCCAACGACUUCUUCUUCAUUCGAGUCGUGGCCCUUAAUAGGACUCAAUGUCUUCGUCAGAAUGCGAUAGACAGUCCGAGGCACAUAUAGUAAUUCCUUCACGAGGAAUUUUGUUCUUGGGGCCUGACCUGGCUUCAAUGGCUUCAUCAGCACUUGCAUAUAGUGAUCUGUAAGCUCAGGCUCUUGGUACAUGCAACGAGCAGCUUCAAGGGGAGGACUGAGAGGCAGAGCAUGAAGCAAUUCAGUAGCUGGUGCCAUAUAGUGAGUAUUUUCAGUCAUCCAGUCCAGCACCCAUGAAUUCACAUCUUCAGAGUCUCCGGUGAUGUGCAACGUUGCAUAGAAUUGAAGAAUGAGUUCUUCAUUCCAAUCACAGAUGUCAGUGCAGAAAUUUAACAGUCCAGCGUCGUGAAGAACACUGAGGACUGGCGCGAAGCACGGCAGAGAUUCCAUAUCCACGUGAGGAAUGUGCUCAUGAUCAAAGACUUUGUCUUUGUUGAACAGCACUGAGGAAUAACAAUUUGCCUGGCUGGCUGUCCAGAAACGCCUCUUCCUAAUGCGAGCAAAGUCAUAGGAGUUGUAGUCAGUGAAGAAUACGUGCUCGCCGAAGAAAUCAUCAGUCUUGAAUUUUUGCUUCCUUGAGAAUGGAUCCUUUGGCUUGGGUUGAGGAGUGUCAGUCAGUUGCAUCACAACCUCUGGAAUCGCAAUCUCAGGUUCUUCAGGCUGAGAAUUUCUGGUUCCUCUUCAGUGGCAGUCUGUGUCUUCAAUGAAUCAGCAACAACAGUUUCUUCAGCACUACACUACAAAAAAAAGACACAUCCGUGACAUUUUGGGCCGAACGAAUUUUUUUUUCUGUCAUACUUAUGACACUUCUAUGACGAUAAUUGUGACAAAACCCGGUAUCAUCAUAGAUGUGGUGGGGUCCUACUUCUAUGACAAAAAAUCAUGACAGAAAAUGGGCUUUUCGUCCUGGGCGGGCCGGAGACGCAGCUGCAUGACAUUCUUUCGGCCGUCCAUGACGGAAAAAACCGUGGUAGAAGCGAGGGCGAGGAAAAUAUCGGGGUGUUCCCGGUUACGGUGGGUGGUCAGGGCCGAGCGAUGCGCGUUUCUCUCAUACACGCACGCGCGUGGGUGCGAGGCGUUGGGCUCUAACUGAACCCGAGCGAGGCGUUGGGCUCUAACUGAACCCGAGUGAUUGCACUGCAGGCUACGCGUUACUGAACCCGAGCGAUCGAUCGAUGGCUGUUAACUGAACCCGAUCGAGCGAUUCCUUCGCUACUGCUGCUAACUGAAGCCGAUCGAUACUGCCUCUGGAUGAACAGUGAGCGUUGCUGGGGGGGUUUGGAUGAACAGUUCCUGGUGGGGGUGGAUGAACAGGACCCCGUGGUGUUGCCUCUGGAUGAACAGGACCCCGAUCGAUCGAGCCGGUUGGGGCUGGAUGAACAGGACCCUAUGGAGGGCAGGAUGAA
rnacentral:lncRNA from 1 species